rnacentral:lncRNA from 1 species
AAAGAGGGGAGGGGGCAAUUUUGAAAAAACCAAAGAGAGUAACACAAAAAAAAAACCCUAAACAAAGAACUCUUUGUGCUUCGACUCUAUGAGCCGUCGUGCUCCCUCUUAAGCCAAAGGAGUCGCAGCCCCCACUUCUGAUUUUUUUUUUAAACACAGCCGCCGUCCCCCGGGGUCCUUGGCUUUUGCUCUCCCAGAACUAGAGAGCCAAGGACCCGUAGCCAUUUCAGAUCCUCCCUUCUCCCCCUUCGGCCGCUCAUCCUCGGAAACCAGAACCAACCUACCUCUCCACAGCUGCCCAUCUCUGGUCUGCCUCACAACCAAAGUCGACCGAUCUCUACCUCCAUCUCCCUCACGAGAUCUCCCCUCUCCAUUUUUCCACCACAGACCGACCGUCAUCGUUCCCACAGCAGCUCCAAAUCAGUCCUUUCCUCUCCUGUUCAACCGCAGCAAUCGUCUCCCAGCUUCUCCACCCAAAGCUUUCCCCUUAGUAGCCUCUUCUUCUCCUUCGAGCUCCUCAACAACGAUAGACACAGAUCACGAGAUAGGCCCCAUCUCUUCCCUCUCCAUCGACCACAACGAACCAUCUUUCAUCAGCACAGACGCGGCAAAGCUUCCUUCAUCGACGCAAACCGGCCUCCACCAAACGCAGCGGCACCCCCACUGUCUUCUUCAUCUCUUUCCACUCGCCCACAGACCCGCGGUCCUCCUCCUUGCUAUCAGUUAUCCGAAGCAAAAGAGAAGAAGUGAACCAAAAAAGAUUAGCUUAACCGCAGAUCUGAAAAACAAAGGAAACAGAGAAACAGGUCUGAAAAACAAAAUAGUAAAAGGCUAAAACCAACUGUUUGUGGCGUUGUUUUUUGUUUUGCAGGUCAUCACUGGCGAGGAAGGCAAGAAGGGAGGAAGCUGUUACAGAUCUCCCCUGUUGACUUGAUUUUUUAAGGCGGCGCGUGGAGCAACGUGCCGCCACUGUUCUUGUUGUCCCUGAGGCUUCACAACACUGUUCCCGUGACUUAGAGGCUUCAAGCACUGUUCGUGAUUCUAUUUUGGGGCCUCUUUUUGUAAAUUUAAAUUGUUUAAUGUGUUGUUUAGGUUAUUUUGAACAUUGAUUAUUUUGUAAUAAUUAGUUUUAGGUGUGGUAAAAUAUAGUAAAAAAGUGAUGUGUGUGUUUGUACUAUUUUUUUAUGUAUGUUUUUGAAUGAUAAAAAAUUAAAAAGACAAAAAGAAAAAAAAAUAAAUGUUUUAAUUUGCAUUGAAUUUGGUUUAUAUUUCAAAAAAAAAUCAAAAAAUAUUUUUCUUUUGAUAUCCAGGAUUAUAAUCUUAUACUUAAGAUGGAUUCUUGAUAUUAAAUAGAAAAGUUUGUUUUGUUUUUAUUGAUGCUAGAGCAAUUAGUUUUUUUUUAUCUAAUAAGAUAAGGAUAUCCUUACCGAGGAUAAUUUUUCUUCUCUUUUUAAGAAAUUAUUGGCAAGACAACUUUCAAAACCUUUUAAAUUACAUCAAAUCACGAAGCAGCUUACCUCAGGUAGGGUGUGCUAGGGUGCUAAUACCUUCCCUAGUCACAACCAGUCCCUUACCCGUGAAUCUCUGACAAGAUCAAUACACCCGGGUUUUCUUGUGACCCUGAAUCAAAUACUAGGUGGUGACUCCUAAAGAACCUAAUCAACGAACGAAAAUCACCAACAAACGUCAUGCGGGUGACGUGCGAUAGAAUGGCGACUCCACUGGGGAAGGUAUUGUUUCUAACAUAUUGGAUUAAGCUUUGUGUAUUUGAUGUAUUUAAGUUUUUGCCUUUUUGUUUUAUUUUGUUAAUGUUUUUUCCAUGGAUUGUAUAGAAUUGUCUCAUGCAUCACAUAUAUUUAUUUUUUAAAGCACACACAAGCUUCUAAGUUAGGUUGGGAAUUAACGAUCUGCCCUAUGACUAUUGGUCAGGGUUCAGAUGCGUGAAACACCCAACUCAUAUCUGAGUGCCUGCUUGGUAAUGGUGGGUAUACAUGCCUUAACCAUUUCUCACAACGCCCCUAUACUGUCUUUACGAAGAUCGUCACUGGGCAGAUAUGAGACCCUAUUGAGACCAGGUAGAAAACCUACCCAUGUUCACAUAAUGAAUAGAACUUGUCCUUAUGGAAGGGAAUGUCUGCACAGCCUCCUGUGGAAGCACUGUUAGUCUAUGUCCAACACAAGGAAAACAUCAUUGACUUUUCUCCUUAACAUUCCACCAGUAGGGGCUAUAAACACUGAAGUGGCACCUCCUUUUUUUCAUUUCAGUCAUGAACAACAACAACGCCUUCAAUCAUCAAUGAAAGAUAAUCUCCUUUCUGGUUCAAUUGCACUGUUAGUUGUUCAUCGCUUUCACGUCUUGCAAUAGCACCCAAAAGCUGCUAGCUUUUUGUGUCUGAUCUUCUUUGAAGUCACCGAACUCCAUUCUUGUCCUGUUGAUUUUAUUUAUUUUUUAUGUUGAAUUUGAUCAUUAUUUUUUUUUAAUUAAUUUUUUUUUUAUCUCACCCUUCAAUAUUUAAUUGGUUUUGAGUUCGAAUAGUGGUUUUUUCUGAUGCGUUGAUCCUAUUCUUAUGACUUGGGUCACAAGUGUGAUCUGUUAACCUAAAUUGACAUUAAUCUUUGUUUUUGCACCAGUUUUCAUUUUCAAUUACAUCCUUCAACGCUGAGUUUAUUUACAAUUGAGCUCUUUUAUUUUUUUGAAAAUUACAUUAUAUGAAGAUAGUCCAACCUCACGACCUUUGGAUUUGUCUGGCCAGUAUGCUUGUGUCACCCUGUUUAGGUCCAUUGAAUAUUUUUUUUUCUUUUUUAUGUUUCUUUUCAAUUUAAUCCUUUGAAUUUAGUAUUUUAUUGAAUUUUUUUUAUCAUUUUUAAAUAAACUUCAGGCAAGUCUUUUGCAUUUUUUAUGGUUUUUUAUAUUAUAAUAUUAUUUGAUUUAGUGUAUGGCCUAUUUGUUUUUUUUUUUUUUUGUUACUUUUUAAACAUGAUGUAUUUUCAUCUCCUUGAGAUUAAAAAAAUAAUUAAUCAUUUUGUUGUUUUUUACUUUAAGCAAGAAAACCUCCUUUUAUUAUCGGACUUUCAAUAAAUUAAAGUUUUUUUUUUGUUUCAUGUACGCACAACCUUUUUUUGUUGUUUAGAUGAAAAAUAAUUUUUAAGAUAAAAUAUUAUUAGAUUUAAUGAGUCUCAGAUCACAGGUUUGACUGGUUAACUCUGUAUUUUUUUUGUUGAAAAAAAUGUUUGCUAUAAAAAAACAGUGUUAGAUAAGCCAUUAUAUUCUCCUUUUCUUUUUCUAAAAAAUUGAUUUUUUUAAUCUGCAGCGAAACACGGGUCAUAAAGCUAAUUAUAUAUAAUACAUGUCUCAACUCACAAUUGUAAUUUAUCAUUAUUCCUUCCUACAAGAUAUAAAGGAAUCAAGCAUAAAUCCAUAAGUUGAUCCUAGUUUAAUAUUUUAGCAUCGUUUACACACACACACACAUAAAAAUCACUAUAGGGAAAAACAUUAUGCUUCUUCUUACAUUUCACUAUGAACUUACUAUGUUAUUUUUUUUAUAUUUUUGAUAAUCAAACUUUUAUUUUGGAUGAUUUCAUUCUUUUGUGGCCAAAUUGAAAGCCAAUUGUAUCAAAUUUGUUGAGGAAUGAGCAAGAUUGAAAGAAAGAGUGUCAAAAUUAAAAAGGCGAAGAAAUUAGAUGGUAGUUUCAAAAUUGGAUCAAAAAGUUCACCUUGGUCUUAUUAAUUUUCAAAUUAUAUACUUUUGGUCCUUCAAUAUUUUGAAAAUAUAAUUUUGUCCUAAAACUUUAGACUAGGUGUUAUUUGCCCUUCCUUCACCUUGCCUGAGAUGGUAGAUUUGAGGUCAUGAAGUUUUUUGCUUUCGGGUUGAUUUUGAGUUUUUGGGUUAUUUGAGGCUAUAUAUGAGUUUAUCAUGAUAUCUAGGGUAUAGAUAUUUUGGGUCAAAAACACAUUGAAUGUUGAAUUUUUGGGGUAAAAAAAAAAACCAAAGUCUUGAUUUUAUGGCAACCACAAGGUUGUCGGAAUCUGGGUGACCAAAAGACAAGUUGUCUAUUUUAUUUAAACAAAUAAAGGGUUCAUGACAUAUUGUUUACCCUUAGUAUCAAAAAAUAGCAUCCACUCUUUUAUAUUGGAAAAAAAACUCUUGGCGUGCUAGCUAGGCCUCUUUUCAUAGGCCUGGCCCGUGGGUAGGCCCACGCUCUUGGCUUGUUUGUUCUUUAUUUAUUUUUUUAAUGUAUUUUCAACACCCUUAAGUAAAAAAAAAAAAUUCAUUUAAUUCUUUGUUUGUUUUUUAAAGGUUUUUUUUUCUUUGACUUGAAAAAACAAACAUCCUUUUGUUAUCAAACUUUUAAGAAAUGGAAUUGUUUUUUAUUUUAAUCUCACAAGCCACCCUUGUUUUUUCUUUUUCUUUUUUUGAAGAAAAAAUAGUGUUUGAUAUAUAUAUAAAAAAGGAUCCCACACAUAUGGUUGGCAUAUAAUUAAAUGAAAAUAAUUUUGAAAACAAAGAUAUGUUAGAUCUAGUGGGAUGCAUGACCCGAAGCGCGGGCUUAAUUGGUUAACUCAUGGUUAAUCCAGGUAUUUUUUUGUCCUUUUUGAAUUGAAUAUUUUUAUUUUUUUUUUAUCAUUCAAUAAUGAGUUGACAUCAUAAUUUGUUUCAGUUUGUUUUUUAUAUGGAUAUUACAAUCUUAAAAUUCAAGUCGUAGAUAUAGCUAAUUAACUCAAGUUUACUCGAGUCAAUUUUUUAUUUAAUCAAUUAAAUGCAUGCAUGAAAUUUUUUAUUUUCGAAUAAAAUUUGUCCUCCGUGUCUAAAAACAUUUUAUAAACAUUUACAUAUUAAUUUUAUUAUAUUGAAAAAGAAAAUUUAUCCAGCACAGGCUACAUAACUAGCAUAUAACAUAAGUUGUGAAUCCAGCUCUGAUCUCAUUGACACACACUAUCAUUUGUUUGGCAAAACUAAAAGGAACAAAUCCAAAAUACCUAAAAAAAGAGAAAAAUUGAAGCUCUCACUCAAAUCACAUCUGGUGCAGGCAAUGAGCUCAUAAUAAAUCAGACAAAUAAAUUCUUCUCGAUAUGGAAGACAAAAUAGUCAAUUACAUCCUGGGUUCUGUUUGCCGCCCGAUUUAACAAUAUUUGCAUUCAAACAUGAAGCUGAGAGAGGCACGUUUGCUUUCUGGCCGAUAUAGGCCAAAUCGAUGUCCACAAGCUCUACUCCUUGACAAGGAACCAAUGAACUGCACGAAAAACUGACAGCAACAUCGGAAGUUGAGGUGCCUUUGAUGUUCUGGUAAUGAACAUUGCUAAUUUUCACUCGUGAUGGCUGCACAGAACAUGAACAAGAUUAGUAAUCCAACGUUAAUUAAGCUCAAAAAAAUUAAAUUACAUACAAUAUAGGAUUUAUCAAAUAUUCUGAUGUUGCAUGGGUAUACAUAAUAUGAUAAGAUUUUUGUAUAUGAAUUACCGCGCCAUUGCGGGAACCAUACUUCUGAUCAAUGAUAAUGGGAUUUUUCACACUAUCCAUAGUGAUAUCUUUAAAAGUGAUAUUUAAAGCUUGGCUAGGGUCAGAUGCAGCAUAUGAUUUGAUUCUCACACCAUUGGUGGUGUUAAACAAUGUGCAGUUAGUCACAACAAUUCCUCUCACAUCCUCCUCGUUCUUGUACUUGCCAAGGCUUCCAACACUGGUGUAAGUCCAAUCCAAAACAGAGAAGAAGUAAGUAAACGAAUACAUUUAUACCUGGAACUUCAUGAAUGAUGUUCACUGGAUCAGAAAUGGGAUUGCAGGGAGGGGGAAUCAGUACGGAAGUUACCUAAGGCCAUGUCCAGGGCCGCAAAAGACUUGAGAGAUGAGAAUAUUUGUGGAUCCUUGUCCAAUGGAAAUACAGUCAUCACCUGUUCCAAUCUUGCUGCUUGUUACGUGGACACCAUCAGAAUGGCUUAUGUGAAUACCAUCUGUAUUUGGGCUAUUAGCAGGAGCAGUCAAAUUGAUAUUGUGGAUCGAAAUGCUGUUGCAGCUUGUAACGUGCAUGUGGAAAUAUUUGCUAUCGACAGAGCUGAUCUCGUGAACAAAAGCAUUCUUUACUUUGCUCAACUUAAUGGACUGCAACAUGGAAAGAAGUCACAAAAUCAUUCCAAGUUUAUACUUUUACGACCACAUGUAUAGUAACUUUUGUGAAUUAACUCUCCGGCAACUAAGUAUGUUAACAAAUGGGGAAAAGUUUUCUUCAGAAUGAAAACAAAUGCCCGGACAGUAUCUUGCUUGCAGUCAAAGGUUCUUUAAAACUUAUUUCAACACUGACAGAAGUGAUGGCUUAUGUGAAGAAUGAGAUUCUUAUUGUGCAGGCCUGGACAUAUUCCUGAUCAUGGUCAGGCCAAUGAUUAAUAAAUUUUGUGGCAAGUGCUAUACAUACACUGGGAAGUGGCUGGCAUUCCUUGUUUUGAUGGCAAUCGUUGUACUUCCAGACGGCACUGCCUUGCCCAUCAAAAGUUCCUCCACCGUUCAAUGUUAAACCAUCAAUUAUUUCAAAUAAGAUCCAUUGUUCUGAACUAUAUUCACUGAGAUCAGUUGUAGCUUUCACGUUUCCCUGUACUUCAAAAACUAUAGGCUCUGUGCUUUUGCACGGCCCUUGAAAUACGACAGGGCUUGUCAAAAAUGUCCCUCCAGGGAUAACCAUCUUAGCUGGAGCACCUGAAUCACAUGCUGCCCGCCAUGUUUGGAUAAAUGCCUGCAUGAUACACAUUGUUAGACGUUAAUUGGAGUUGCAAACCUUUUUAGAGCGCAAAUCCUGUUUAGCGAUUAAAAUCCAGGAUAGUUAAUUAUUUUGUCAGAAAAAAAUCAAACUCUUUCACGUGUUCUGUUAUUCGGUUACACAGAACUAAGCCAAGUCAGGGCAAUCAAUUAUAAGACUGGCUUUGUCUUGCGAACUCACCUCUGCGUUAUCGGUCUUAUCAUCAGCCUUGGCACCGUGUUUUGUUACAUCAAAAACUGUAACCGCGGCACCACUACCAUCAAUCAGGCUACGACGGUCACUGAGACCAAUAUGGUGGCGAAGUGCACCAUCGGCCACGCAAGAGAGCAAAGCUAAGCCUAAAACAAGAAUGCUUCCUGCAAUGGUCAUGGUGACGUUUAACCCAGAAUGAAAGGUUUCUUUUUAAAUCUUCAAAGUUCUUGCAGAGGAAUGUGAAUUUUACCUCGCCAGGGUUUAUCUUUUAUAGAUUAAAAUCUCUAUCUCUAUUUUUAGUGAUGCCCCCCCAAACAUAGCACUGUAACCUUAGUUAAGUAUGAAUCUGCGUCUUCCCUGCUAUAUUUCAGGUCGCUUGCAGCCAUCGAAAUAAGAUAUCACUGUAUGUUGACUUAGAAUGACCGAUUCUUUUCCCAUAAAUAUAUAUGCACAAGUGAUCAAUACCUACUUAUAGGAAUAGAAAUCAUGGGAUGUGUAGCUCUCAACCACUGGUUUCCAGAAGAAAAAUAGAAUUUACUAUAUCAUGAACAGUGUAAUCCAAAAACAUUCUAUCUUAGGAUACACCAUAUGAAUUUAGGAUGCUUCGGUGAGGUAUAGAGCGGAUCUAUGCCACAGCUCGAUUGGCAAGCAUGAUAUGUUGUUCUUAUUCCUCGGAAUGUUCAAGUCUCCUUGUGAAUCCCAAAAAUAAAAAUUCAAAAGCCUUAAGAUUUACAAUCACUAAUUAUAGUGAUUAAUUACAUGGAAUUAUUGUAGAGUAGUGAACAUACAAAAACCCUUAAAAAAUAUAUAUUUACGAGGUACUGGCGUUGCCACCGGGGCAGGUUUAUUAACGAAAUACUGAACCAUUAUCACACCCUUGUUCUUCUGGGCUGCCGUGUAGCAUUCAAUAGUUUCCCUUGUAUAACAAGAACCUUGUGCACUUGAAAGCUGUUGUUGAAAUGUUGACUGCAGAGGCAUCUUUGCCUUAGGAACUGGGCCUAUGCUCUCCUCCAACAAUUGGAAGGCUUCAAUUCCAAUCUCUGCAAGCUUGUUUGGAGGAACCAUUCUCAAGCAGUCUUCCUCUCUAUUCUUGUAGUAAUCAAAACCUGUCUGCUGUUACUAGUGCUUGUCGUCGCAAUACCUAUGGAGCAUAACUGUUGACAGUUGCCUCAUUUGCUGCUGAAGAAGAGGUCUUCGAUGCUGAGAAGACUGAGCAGUUUUAGUCAAGAUUAGCUUUCCAUUAUCUUAGCAUGUUUGUUACAAAUAAAGCUGUUAUAGAACAGCUCUUUGUUUGUUAAGAUUUGAUAGUAUUUUUCUGUAGUUUGUUAUCAAAACUCUUUUAUAAAAGAGUAAUUUCAUUAAUAAAAAAUCAUGCUUGCAGUCACAAUAACAACAAUCAUUAUAGCUGUCUUAUUUUCUUUGUCUCUAUACUAUUUUAUCUACUUCAAAUUGGUAUCAGAGCUUUAUUUGAUCUUACGAGACCAAGCUUGAGUGAAGAGAGUAACCUAUGAGAAACCUUUUUUCACCAAACAUACAAACACCAAAGCCUCUUCUCUUUUUUAAAUGGCAUCAAAUAUGUAUUUUCUUGCAUCACCACCAGUAUUUACUGGUGAAAACUAUCAAAUGUGGGCUGUAAGAAUGAAAACAUACUUGCAAGCCUGUGAUUUCUGGGAUGCAAUAGAACAGGAACAUGAAUCCCAACCACUACCUGCUGAUCCUACUAUUGCUCAAAUCAAAACCCAUCGUGAGGAAAGAGCAAGAAAGUUCAAAGCAAAAACAUGUCUCUACUCUGCAGUUUCAGAAGCAAUAUUCCCCAGAAUAAUUGCACUUGAUACAGCCAAGCAAGUAUGGAAUUAUCUUCAAGAAGAAUUCCAUGGUAAUGAGAGAAUAAUUCAGAUGCAGGUAUUGAAUUUGAGAAGGGAGUUUGAGAUGCAGAAGAUGAAAGAAACAGAAACAAUCAGAGAUUUUUCUGAUAGAUUACUUUCCAUAGUCAACAAAGUAAGACUAUUGGGAGAAGAUCUUCCUGAUAAAAGAGUUGUUGAAAAAAUUCUGGUAACUUUACCUGAAAGGUUUGAAUCAAAAAUUUCUUCCUUAGAAGAAUCUAAAGAUCUGUCAAAAAUAUCUUUGACAGAAUUGCUCAAUGCUUUACAGGCACAAGAACAAAGAAGAAUAAUAUGGCAAGAGGAGUCCAUGGAAGGAGCUUUUCAAGCCAAAAUGCAUGUUCAGAAAGGAGACAAAGGCAAAAAGAAGAUCAACAAAUACAAUGGAGCCGAUAGCAGCAAAAGAUCUGGAAACUUUCCUCCCUGCCAACACUGUAAGAAAACAAAUCACUUACAGAAAUAUUGCUAGUGGAGACCUGAUAUUAAAUGCAGAAAGUGUAAUCAACUGGGACAUAUGGAGAAGAUUUGCAAAAGCAAAACUAACCUGCAAGAAGAUGAAGCUCAAGUUGCAAAUCAACAACAGGAGGAGCAGCUGUUUGUGGCUACUUGUUUUGCUAGCAAACAUGCAAGUGAUUGCUAGCUGAUAGAUAGUGGUUGCACAAACCACAUGACAAAUGAUGAAAAUCUAUUCAAGCAACUUGACAAAUCCAGUGUUUCUAUAGUCAGAAUCGGAAAUGGUGAAUAUAUUCCUGUCAAAGGAACAGGAACAGUUGCUAUUGAAGGAAAUUCAGGUAUAAAACUCAUUUCAGAUGUUCUUUUUGUUCCUGAAAUUGAUCAGAAUCUGUUAAGUGUUGGUCAGCUUCUUGAAAAAGGAUACUCAGUUGUAUUUAAAGACAAACAUUGUUCAAUUUCUGAUCCUGCUGGAUUAGAAAUAUUCACUAUAAAGAUGAAAGGAAAAUGUUUUUCACUUGACUGGAUGGAAGAGGAGUCAGCUGCUUUUCUAAGCACAGCAAAUCAGUCAGAAUUGUGGCACAAAAGGCUGGGGCAUUUUAAUCAAGCAACAUUGAUGCAGAUACAGAAAAAGAAGAUGGUGCAGGGAAUGCCAAAAUUGGAUGAAGAAAUCACAGUCUGCUCUUCUUAUCAAUAUAGCAAACAGAAUAACCUUCCAUUUCCUCUGAACAAGGCCUGGAGAGCAAUGAAAAAGCUUCAGCUUAUUCAUACUGAUGUUGCUGGACCUCUGAAGACAAUAUCUCUGAAUGGAAGCAGGUAUUAUAUAGCUUUCAUUGAUGAUUAUACAAGGAUGUGCUGGGUAUAUUUUCUAAAGUUUAAGACUGAGGUAGCAAGUGUUUUUCUGAAGUUUAAAAACUAGAUUGAAAAUCAAAGUGGUCAUAGAAUUCAGGUUGUAAGAUCUGAUAAUGGCACCAAAUACACAUCAAACAAGUUUGCCAAGUUUUGUCAUGAUGCAGGGAUUGAACAUCAAUAUACUACACCUUACACUCCUCAGCAAAAAGGUGUAAGUGAACGAAAAAACAGAACAAUCAUGGAGAUGGCAGGGUGUUUGUUAUUUGAGAAAGAUUUACCCAAGAAGUUUUGGGCAGAGGUUGUGAACACUACUGUGUUCUUGUUGAAUAGGCUGCCAACAAGAGCAUUACAAAACAAGACUCCAUAUGAAGCUUGGCAUGAUUACAAACCUUCACUUCAAAAUUUAAAGAUUUUUGGUUGCUUAUGUUUCACCUAUGUUCCUCAGGUAAAAAGAGAUAAACUUGACAAAAAGGCUGAGGCUGGCAUCUUUGUUGGCUACAGCAAUGUUACAAAAGGCUACAGAGUCUUUCAACCUCAAACAGAAAAAGUGAUAGUUAGCAGAGACAUCAAAUUCAUUGAAACCGAAAAGUGGAACUUCAAAGAUGAAAGUGCAGGUAUGGAGAUUGUGCAGGAUGUUGAUGACAUUGAUGAAGCACCAGUUAGAGGAACUAAGUUGCUUACAGAUAUUUAUCAAAGCUGCAAUGUAGCUGUGUUAGAACCUGCAGAAUUUGAAGAAGCCAAAAAUGAUCCAAAAUGGAUUGAUGCAAUGAAUGAAGAGCUGAGGAUGAUUGAGAAGAAUCAAACAUGGGAAUUGGUGGACAUGUCAGAGCACAAAAAACCUAUUGGACUAAAAUGGGUUCACAGAACAAAAUUGAAUGUUGAUGGCACUAUCAACAAACACAAAGCCAGAUUGGUGGUUAAGGGUUAUGCACAGAUUUUUGGUGUUGAUUUUUCAGAGACAUUUGCACCAGUUGCACGCCUGGAUACCAUAAGAAUACUACUACCAGUUGCAGCUCAAAAAGGUUGGAAAAUCAUUCAACUUGAUGUGAAGUCUGCAUUCUUGAAUGGCUAUCUGCAGGAGGAGAUUUUCGUUGAACAGCCAAAGGGAUUUGUUGUGAGAGGAGAAGAAGAAAAGGUUUACUUAUUGAAGAAAGCUUUAUAUGGAUUGAAACAGGCUCCAAGAGCUUGGUAUAGCAGGAUUGAUGAGCAUUUACUCAAACUUGACUUUAAGAAAAGUUUGAGUGAAUCAACCUUAUACAUCAGAAAUUCAAAUUCUGAUUACAUUGUGAUUUCACUUUAUAUGGAUGAUCUUUUUGUUACAGGAAACAAUCCAAGCAUGAUAAAAAAAUUCAAAGCAGAAAUGAUGAAGGUUUUUGAAAUGACAGAUCUCGGUGAAAUGUCUUAUUUUCUUGGUAUGGAAGUGCAACAAAACCAGCAUGGAAUUUUUAUUUGUCAGCAGAAAUAUGCCAAAGAGAUUUUGAAGAAAUUCAAAAUGGAAGAAUGCAAAUCAAUGACUACUCCCAUGAACGUGAAAGAAAAAUUCUGUAAAGAUGAUGGAGCUGAUAAAGUUGAUGAAGCAAUUUACAGAAGCUUGAUUGGAUGUCUGAUGUAUCUCACUGCUACAAGACCUGAUAUCAUGCAUGUUGUAAGCUUGUUAUCAAGGUUCAUGCAUUGUGCAAGUGAGGUUCACUUCAAGGCUGCGAAAAGAGUUAUGAGAUAUAUCAAAGGUACACUAAGCUAUGGCAUUCAGUUUAGUUGUAUUGAAAAUUUUAAUCUCCAAGGAUAUGCAGACAGUGAUUGGGCUGGCAGUUGUGAUGACAUGAAGAGCACCUCUAGAUAUUGUUUCAGUUUUGGAUCAGGAAUUUUCUCCUGGUGUUCAAAAAAACAAGAGGUAAUUGCUCAAUCAACAGCAAAGGCAGAGUAUGUUGCAACUACUGCAGCUACAAAUCAAGUUUUAUGGCUGAGAAAAAUCUUAGCAGAUUUGGACAUGGAGCAGAAGAAAGCUACUAGGGUCAAUGUUGAUAAUCAGGCUGCAAUUGCAAUAUCCAACAAUCCAAUCUUCCAUGGCAAAACAAAGCAUUUCAAGCUCAAGUAUUAUUUUCUGAGAGAGGUUCAGAAAAAUGAAGAGAUACAACUUAUUUAUUGCAGGACAGAAGACUAGCUUGCUGACAUUUUAACCAAGCCAUUGUCAAAAACAAGGUUUGAAAUAUUAAGAAACAAGAUAGGUGUCUGCAGCAAAAGAUGCAAGGAGGAGUGUUGACAGUUGCCUCAUUUGCUGCUGAAGAAGAGGUCUUUGAUGCUGAGAAGACUGAGAAGUUUUAGUCAAGAUUAGCUUUCCAUUAUCUUAGCAUGUUUGUUACAAAUAAAGCUGUUAUAGAACAGCUCUUUGUUUGUUAAGAUUUCAUCAUUAUUUUUCUGUAGUUUGUUAUCAAAACUCUUCUAUAAAAGAGUGAUUUCAUUAAUAAAGAAUUAUGCUUGCAGUCACAAUAACAACAAUCAUUAUAGCUGUCUUAUUUUCUUUGUCUCUAUAUUGUUUUAUCUACUUCAAUAACCCUUUUAUAGCAUAAGCUUAGUUCCUCUUUUUUCAUAUUAUCAUGAGACAUGCAUUCUCCUCCUUUCUCUCCCCCCAAAUUGCUGGAAAAUGUAAGAGAUGCAUUGAUCAGAUUUGCUUUCAGUGGACACUUCCUUUGUGAUGCUAUAAACAUGUAUUCGUAACUAUCUUCACUUUCUAGAGCGCCACAAAACCCUAUAGAUUUGCAUUCAGUGGACACUUCCUGCGUGAUGCUAUAAACAUGUAGUGGUGUUCAAAAAAAAACGACCAACUGAUUAAACCAAAAAAAUCAAGAAAAUAUUAACCAAAAAAACCCAACUGAUAGAAAAAACCAAAUAAACCGAUUUAAAAAAAUACCCGGUCCGGUUCGAUUCCGGUUUAAAAAAGCUUAAACCGAUUGAACUGGAUCAAACCGAACCGAUUUAAUUAAAUCUAAAUAACUUAAAAAAACAUAUAAAAAGAAACAUCCCUAACCCUAAAACAUUUUAUCUCUUUCCCCUUUUCCAGCCGCCAACACCCCCUUCCCCUUCCCAACCGCCCCUUCCCCUUCCUCUUUCCCCUUUCCCAGCCGUCCCACCCCUCCCUCCCUCCCUCCCGGAGGUCCUUUGUGCUCUUCUCUCUUAUUUUCUCUCAUAUGUUAACAUUAAAUCUUACUUUUAAGUUUUGAGUCUUUAACACCACAUCUUGGCUACCCCACACUUGCAGGACUUUAUGAAGAAAUUUGAGGGAGAAGCUUUAGGUCCAUGGCUCUUCAAGGAAGAAAUAAUUCUUUUUAACAGUUGAAUCUAUCUCUUGCCGACAUUUGACUUCAUUAUUCCUAUAAUCAAGGAAUCUCAUUUCAACACUCACGAAGGCCUCCAUGAAUCUUCAUUGGUUUCCGGUUUUUCUAGUUUUUAAUGCUAAAAAACCGACUUGAACCGAACAAAACCGUUUCAGUUUGAACCGGUUCUCGGUUCGGUCCGGGUUAUAUUAAUAAGAAAUAUUAUUUUCUAGUUUGGUUGAAUUUUUAAAUUAAAACUGGACUUUGAACACCCGUAUAUUUAUAUUUUUGUCAUUCCUUGUAAAAACCAACAUCCUAUCUGAUGCGAUAAAAUCAUUUUUAUCAGGUGAUUAUUUGGUCAUUAACAAAUUAAUUUGUAUAUUUGUUUUAGCACAUAAAAUAAUUAUGAUACACAUAUAGCUUUUAGCUAUGAUCUUUAUUGACUUUUGAAUUUUCUUUGCAUCGCAAAAUGUGGUGGAUACCUUUAAAACACACAAAUAUAUAUAUAUAUAUAUAUAUAUAUAUAUAUAUAUAUAUAUAUAUAUAUAUAUAUAUAAAAAAAAAAAAAAAAAAACUUGCAUAUAGCACAAUAAAAAGUUAAAUUUGACCUUAGAAUAAAAAAAAAUCAAAGGCUAGUGUGAAAGGGUGUUUUUAUCUUUUCAUUAUAGUUUUUUUUUUGUAAUAUUAAAUUUCAUUUAAUGGCUACUUGAUAAUUUAAUAAAUUUUAAUUUAAUAAAAAAAGCAUGUGUAAUGCAUUUGGACACCCCCUCGCUCUUCUAGUGGGGUUUUCGAUGCUAAAACACUGUUUUUCAGCACAACGUUUUGAUUGUCUUGACAACCUCUUGAUUAUGUAGCACGUGUAGCCAGCAAGUCUUGGGUUUUGCAUCGAUAGUCCUUUUUUUUUUCUAUCUUCUCUUCAUCUUGAUUUCCACAUUUCCUUCAAAAUUUCAUGGCAAACCUUCAAUUGUUUUCUCCUUAAGAUUUUGUUCUUAUUUUUUUAAUUCUUAUUUUUUUAAUUCUUAUUUAUUUUUAUAGGAAAUCAUUUAUCAAAUUAAAUUAUUUUUUUUCAAUUUCAUCCUUUUUUAAAUUUUUUCAUUUGUCAGAUUGGAUUCUCAUUUUUUUAUUUAUUUUAUUUGGAAUAAUUUUAAAAUUAAAUUUGUUUUAUGAUUUUAUCGUCCUACAAUUUUUAUCAUGUCAUAAUUAAUCCUCAUUAUUUUGAUUCUUAUUUUUCUCUUUGGAAAAGUUUUUAGAUUGAUUUUUUUUUUCUUAACUCCAUCCUUCAACAUUAAUUUGGUUAGGAAUUGAUAUUUUUUGUUGAGCCUCGGUCUCGGAUUUAAAAGAUUGCGAGUUUAGGAUAUUAACCUAGAUUUAGGAGAUUGACCUAGAUGUGCUUAGUUUUCUUUUUCUUUAAGAUUAUUUUUUUUAAUUUUAUCUUUCAGCAUUUAUUUAAUUUUAUAUUGGGCUCUAUUAUUUUUUUAUUUGUUUUAUAUUAAUUUUUCACUGAUUUUGAAUAUGAUAUUGAUUGUCUUGUCUUUUAAUAUUGGAUUGUUUGCUGAUUAAAUUUCAUGAUUUUAUUCAAUUUAUUUUUACUCAGAUUACAUGGUUUAACAAAAAUAAGUUUGUCUUUGUUACUUUUUUUAUUAAUAUAUUUAUUUUCGUUUUAUUUUUUUGUUUAUAAUAUUAAAUUGAUUGAAUUAUUACUGAAUCUUUUUUUACCUUUUUAAAAAUAUUUGUAUGGCUUAAGGAUUAUAUUUUUUAAAAAAAAUACAUUAGCCUCUGAUGCAGCGCGUGCCAUCAAUAAUCUAGUGCUUAGAGCCUAUUUGAGAUUUUGGUAGCGGUUGCUGUUCAAAGUGUUUCUCACUUAGAAAUGUAUCAAAAUGAUUUUUUUAAAAAAAUUAUUUUUAAAAUUAGCACAUCAAAACGAUUUAAAAUCAUAAAAAAUAUAAUUUUUAACAAAAAAAAUUUUAAUUUAAAAAAAUAUGAUUUCAACUACGUUACUAAACCGUCCCAGUAAAUAACCGCGUCAAUUCCCUAUCUGAACUAAAAACAAUAUGAACUCCAAGGGUGUUUUUUUAAUUAAGAAAGUUUACUUUUUAUCUUCAAUAUGUAAGUUCAAAUUUUAAGAGAUGGUUGUCCAGAAAAAAAAAAUUUAAAAAAUAGUUUUUAUUGACGUACAAGUAGGUCCGAAAAUAAAAAUACUACAUAUCAUCGAAUAAAAUAAUAAUAAUUUGUGAAAAAAGAGGAGGAUCCAUCUGGAACGAUGUUUCAAUUAUUUAGCCACGGCAAACCCAGUGAUAUGUGUGGAGAAGUUAAAGAAUCUGGGAUAGGAUAUGUACAUGUGCUUUUGGAUGAAAUUCAAAGGAGGGGGUCUAUCCAAAAAUUCUUGGCUAAAAAAAACAAAAAAAAAAACUUUAAAGUAUCUUUUGAAAAGAUGGAUUUGUUUAGGAUCAAAAUUCCAACCAUUUUAGAUCAAGAAUGGUUUUAAGGACUUCGCUAUAUUAUUAAUCAAAUAAAAAAAAUCUUGGAUUAUCAAAAAUUACUUAACAUUGUUAUUAAACUCGAUCUCAUACGUUAACUUUGAAACCUUUCAAUUAGAUAUUUUAACUAACCUGAAUUUAAAAUUAAAUUAUAAAAAAAAUGACUCAAUCUAAUCAACUUAAUUAGUAUAAAAACAACUUAACCGACCACUAAAAACAUUCUGACAAUGAAUUGAAAAAAAUGAUGAAAUUAAUAGAAAAACAAAAACAAAAAUUCUUGGGCCACAUCUUGUCUAACCCGAGUUUAAAAGUAAAUUGUUGAGAGUUGCCCUAACAUAACUUAAUCAACCUGAUUUGUCCAAAGGCAACUUGGCUUACCGAUAAAGAAAAUCUAAAGAUCAAAUUGAGAAAAAAAAAUGAAAUUGAUAAAUAAAUAAAUAAAACCCCUCUCAACCUGAUUUAUUAUCUAGCUCAUAUUUAAAAUUAAAUUAUGUGAGAAUGGCGCUAAAAUAAUUUAAUUGACCUGGUAGGUUUAAAGGUAACACAGUCACUUGUUAAAAAAGUUUGAGAAAAAAAUUUAAAAAAACAUGAUGAAAUUAAAAAAUAAGAUGGGCCAAAGAAAAAAAAAGAGAGAGAAGAAGUACGAAGCUACAUUAUAUUUGUAUAUAUUUACGCCCAAUACAAUUCAUACCAAAAGAUUCUGAAUAUAUAACUCUUACUUGAUACCAUUAACUAAUUUUAUGUUUUUAUUAAUUUAAAAAAUUAUUUUGAGGUUUUAAAAAUAAAACUUAAUUAAAAAAUAUUUAACGAAGUUUUAUGUCUAUAAUAUUAUAUUUAAAAUAUUUAUAUUAUAUAUAUAGUUUUUAAAAUAAGCUAUAUAUAAAUAUAUGAUAUAAUAAAUAAAAUAUUCUUCCACAAUUACACUUUUAUAUCUUUUUUUUAUUGUAAAUGGUUAAAUAGUUACAUUUAAUUUUAUAUAUAUGUUAGAUUCUUCCUUCAUUAUUCUCAAUAACCUUUCCAAAGGCAAAUUCCAAUUUUGAAAUUUACUAUUUCAUCCCAAGAGAAAUAAAUUCUUAUAACACACUGUCCCCCUAAAGAAAAAUAAAUUCUUGGAACACAUUAUUUUGUCCCAAAGACAAAUCAAUUAUUUGAACACAUUAUCACAUGCCGAAGGCAAAUCAAUUCUUUGAAUAUCUAUUUUCGUGAUUUAAAAACUAACCAUUAAUGUUUAAACAAUAGUCUUUCAUAAACUUGGAAAUAACAAAAUUUUGAGAGAUAGGGUUCUUAUCUUGAGUUUAUGGGAUGCAUGCUCUUUGAGAGUAUCGAUUUCACUUCGAACGAACCUUCUAAUAACACCAACAUUUCAACUAGUUAAAUUUUAACUUUGCUCACUAUACCUUUCUAUGUAUUAAGAAUUUAUUUCAACACAUAUAUGUAUACUUGUCAUGUCUAUUUUUCACACUAUUCUCUCUUACAUUACAACUAAAAUAUUAAUACCAAAUUAACUCAAUGUGGUAAGGUUUUUUUAAGAAUUUUCUUAAAUUUUUAUAAGACACCAUAACCCAAACCAAUCUUUCUUACUAACACAAUUUAAAACAAUAGUAUUAACAUUAUUCUUCACCCUAUCAUUUCUUUUACGCAUAGCCAGCCUCUAGAAUGAAAGAAAAACCACAUUAUAUAUGAAAUUUUCUUUUCUUUACAUUAUUAACUAUAUAAUUUGAACCAAAAUAAUUCUAUCAAUUCACCAAUCUUUUCUUCCAAUACUAUUUUAACAUAAACUCUAACUUGCAUAGAAUUUGGUGAUUUUCAAUCCUUAUAAAAAAGCUACAACAUAAAUGAAAUUAAAGCAAUGAAAAAACUUUACCACCACCAAUUAACCUAGAUUGCCUUGUUCCUUGCUCUAUUUCUUCCAAAUAUUGCUCCUUUCACUCUCCAAAUCACUCUUUCUCUCUCUAACUAUAUGUCGCACGUGGGCGCGCGCGAGUGGUGUCGUAGGGGUCAAGGAGUCGCUAAUUUUGUCAAUCUUAUACAUUUUGGUCCUUCAACUUUUCACUUGUUAUCUUGGGCAAUCUUUUGGGCUUUAUUCAUGUGUAUCCCCUUAUAUUUUGGAUAUUUUUAUACUUUUUCUUCUUUUCUUAUUUUUUUUGUGGGGUCAAAAAUAGGUAACAAUAAGUGCCCUCUUUUUAUAAUGUUUACAAAGCAAAAUUUUAUCAAGGUUUUGCAUAGUAAAGAAAAGGUGUAUGUCCAACUUGUUGGGUGAUCCACCCAUCCAAAAAAUUUGCUUUUAAAAUUCAAAAACUAAUCUAUUUUCAUAAACGACCUGUCCUUUUUAAAUUUCAAAAAAAAAAAUCAACAAGUAUGCUUCCUUGAAAUUGAUCUAUUUUCAUGGGUGACUUGCCUAUUAUGAAAUUCAAAAGUUGGCUUAUUUACACGGGCGACCUGCCCUUUUCAAUUUUCAAAAAGAACUUCAGCAAGUGUCUGUAUUCCCUGAAAGUGGCCUAUUUUCACGAGCAUUAUGCUCUUUUCAAACUUCAGCAAGCAUCCAUGCUUCUUUGAAGUUGAUGUAUUUUCACGGGCGACUAGCACUUUUCAAAUUUCAAAAAGAAUUUCAGCAAACGUUCAUACUUCUCUAAAAUUGAUCUAUUUUCACGAGCGGCCUGCUCAUUUUGAAAUUCAAAAACUAGCUUAUUUUAUAGGUGACCUGUCCAUUUUGAAAUUCAAAAACUAGUAUAUUUUCAUGGGUGACUUACCCUUUUAGAACUUCAACAAGCGUCUAUGCUUCCCUAAAGUUAGUCAAUUUUCACGGGUGACCUGCCUAUUUUGAAAUUCAAACUAAGAUUUUUAUUAAAAUCCUUCAAAACUUUCCAAAAACAAAAUACCCUUAAAGGAUAAACUCUUAAAACAAGUGCAUUGUCUUGUGGCUUUAGUUGUCCACACUAUAUAGAUGGGAUUUUUUUCCAUUUCUCGACUUUCAUUCACUCAUGCAGAUUUCUCCUCCUUUCUUGUUGAUUGACGAAUUCUGCACAAAUACUAUUUCAAAGUUGAGGUUAAACCAUAUACAAUGCAUGCUUUUUGAAAUAUAAGCCCCCUCUCAUUUCUUCACAAUUUCUUUUUAUGAUUGUCAAGGGCUGCAAUUUCCAAAGUGGUCACUUUCGUCGGCUCAUCUUCCAGUUUACCCAAGCAAGUCCAUGCGAAUUACUUUCAAAUCUUUACCGUCAAGUUGCCUUUCUAGCCUUUUUUUUUUUUAGUAUUUAGGCCAUGACGAAUACUAUCCUAAUUGGGAAUGCAUUAGAACUCCUUGCCUUAUGACAAUGUUGUUUUUUAUGUGCUUUUAUCAAAUACAUGUGACACAUGUUUGAGUUUUAUUUUAGGGUGUUUUUCCUAACAAGGAUUUCAAAAGACUUACUUUGUCUUUUCGAAAGCCUGAGAUUUUUCAUAGUCAUGUCAAAUAGCAAUGUUCAUGCAACUCUCAUGAUCUGACUAGUCUUUAAAGAAAGACAUUUCAUCAUGGUGAUUAGUUUAGGAGAUGGCUCAUUUUGCAUUGGGUUGAAAACAAAAUCAAAUACUUGUUUGAAGUCUUGUGUUUGAAUAUUCUCAAAAAAGGUGAAUAGCUAUUCAUUUUAUCAUGACUCUUAAGAAUGGUUCCUUAUGUUUUGAGAGCGUAUUUAUCAGUCUUUCUUGCUUGCUUGAUUAGAACAGACUUUUCAAGGUGCGUAAUGAAGGCUUAGUUUGAUGGCUACUAAAGAAAAUGAAUUCACAGGCUCAAAUGGUGUUUAAGGGUCUUCAUGGGUCUAGGAUCACUUUUAUUCCUUUAUACCCCUUCAUCCUCUUUUGUUAUUCUUCUAGCAUAUGAUAUGCUAUCAAAGUCCUUUGCUUUUAGGAGUCGAGACAAAAGGAUCUUUCCAGGUUUUCUUUUGACUUUAUACCUUUGAUCGAACACCUAAUUAGCUUUUCUUUCCUGAAAUCUUUUUACCCAAUGCCCUUCUCUUUUUCAAACCCUUGAUAGAAAACCUAAACAUGUUUCUUUCAUUUGCAAAUUCCUCAAUGAUUUUCCUUUUCUUCAUUUGUCGAAGUUGUAGGAAAAGCCUUUACUUGUUUUUUCUUAUACUCGUGUGUCUUUUCAAGAUUUGUUAUUUUAGCAAUGUUAUUUUAGCAAAGCUCCUUUUCUUCUUUUUGGGCGUGUUCGACUUACGGACACAAUCAUGGAUUCCGUUUAUAGGUAUUCUACCUUUAUUGAGUUUUCCGACCACAUCCUAAUUAUUUUCUAAUACUUGCCCCAGUGGUGAGUGUGAUCCUAACAAGGGUUAUCUUGCAAAAAAAAAUUCAUUUUGGCUCAAAUUGGGACUGCAAUGAAUAUAUUUAUUUCUAAGGGGUAUCAAAGAAUGGCCUUUUCUCAUUUCAAGCAAGAUUGACUAGGACAAAUAAAUUAUGACCUCAUCACCAUAGCGAUUUGCAUGGAAUAUUUUUAUGAGUUCAUGAUUCAUGAAAACUUUAUCCUCUUUGUUUCAUAUAGCUUUUAUACGACAAACUUUGAUUGUUGGGUCAUCUAAUUUUAGACCCUAUUUUGAUAGUAUUUAGUGCGUUCUAUUACGUAAAGGAGGAUGAGCAUAGGCUCUUAAUGGAAUUUAAAGUUCGUGUUUAAUGUAAUAGAGACAUGUAUAAUUCCACCUAUAUAAAUAUAGAAGUGGUGCCGCUUUUGACAAGAGUUAGGGUUUUCUCUUAUAAAUAUUCAUGAAAAUACGAUUUUAGCACAUGACCAUAAUAGUGCUAAACAAUUGUAAACCUCUUUAAGAGUUUGGAUAGUAUUAUGUAUGUAGCAUCUUUUAUUCUACAAUAAAAGUUUGGGUUUAAUCUAGACACCAAUAACUUUAAUAGGAUUCAAGUUCUAAUACUAAUUGAAGGUUUAAAUUGUAAAAUACCUUAUUGUAAGUAUAAUUUUAUCAAAUGAAAAGAUAUUCAUUACAAACUAGUGAGGAUUGUUGGUAUAGUUUGUAAAUGAAUAAAGAAGAAAAAGAUGUUUAUCCCAUAUUGGAUAGAAACACUCUCCUAAGUGUUUAUAAGUGUGAGUUUUUAUUGUGUAGUAAAUUAAGUGAAAUUUAUGGUGGAAGGACUUUUCUAGUAGACUUUCUAAUGCUAUUAUUUUUAAUUUCAUCAUUCAAUAAUGAGUUGAUUUGUUAAUUCAACAUCACAAUUUGUUUCAAUUUAUUUUUUAUAUGGAUAUUACAAUCUCAAAACUCAAGUCGUAGAUAUAGCUAAUUAACUCAAGUUUACUCAAGUUGAUUUUUUAUUUAAUCAAUUAAAUACAUGCAUGAAAAUGUUUUCUAUUAAAAUUUGUUCUCCGUGUCUAAAACAUUUUAUAAACAUUUACAUAUUAAUUUUAUUAUAUUGAAAAAGAAAAUUUAUCCAGCACAGGCUACGUAACUAGCAUAUAACAUAAGUUGUGAAUCCAGCUCUGAUCUCAUUGACACACACUAUCAUUUGUUUGGCCAAACUAAAAGGAACAAAUCCAAAAUACCUAAAAAAAGAGAAAAAUUGAAGCUCUCACUCAAAUCACAUCUGGUGCAGGCAAUGAGCUCAUAAUAAAUCAGACAAAUAAAUUCUUCUCGAUAUGGAAGACAAAAUAGUCAAUUACAUCCUGGGUUCUGUUUGCCGCCCGAUUUAACAAUAUUUGCAUUCAAACAUGAAGCUGAGAGAGGGAUGUUUGCUUUCUGGCCGAUAUAGGCCAAAUCGAUGUCCACAAUCUCUACUCCUUGACAAGGAACCAAUGAACUGCACGAAAAACUGACAGCAACAUCGGAAGUUGAGGUGCCUUUGAUGUUCUGGUAAUGAACAUUGCUAAUUUUCACUCGUGAUGGCUGCACAGAACAUGAACAAGCUUAGCAAUCCAACGUUAAUUAAGCUAAAAAAAAUUAAAUUACAUACAAUAUAGGAUUUAUCAAAUAUUCUGAUGUUGCAUGGGUAUACAUGAUAUGAUAAGAUUUUUGUCUAUGAAUUACCGCGCCAUUGCGGGAACCAUACUUCUGAUCAAUGAUAAUGGGAUUUUUCACACUAUCCAUAGUGAUAUCUUUAAAAGUGAUAUUUAAAGCUUGGCUAGGGUCAGAUGCAGCAUAUGAUUUGAUUCUCACACCAUUGGUGGUGUUAAACAAUGUGCAGUUAGUCACAACAAUUCCUCUCACAUCCUCCUCGUUCUUGUACUUGCCAAGGCUUCCAACACUGGUGUAAGUCCAAUCCAAAAACAGAGAAGAAGUAAGUAAACGAAUACAUUUAUACCUGGAACUUCAUGAAUGAUGUUCACUGGAUCAGAAAUGGGAUUGCAGGGAGGGGGAAUCAGUACGGAAGUUACCUAAGGCCAUGUCCAGGGCCGCAAAAGACUUGAGAGAUGAGAAUAUUUGUGGAUCCUUGUCCAAUGGAAACACAGUCAUCACCUGUUCCAAUCUUGCUGCUUGUUACGUGGACACCAUCAGAAUGGCUUAUGUGAAUACCAUCUGUAUUUGGGCUAUUAGCAGGAGCAGUCAAAUUGAUAUUGUGGAUCGAAAUGCUGUUGCAGCUUGUAACGUGCAUGUGGAAAUAUUUGCUAUCGACAGAGCUGAUCUCGUGAACAAAAGCAUUCUUUACUUUGCUCAACUUAAUGGACUGCAACAUGGAAAGAAGUCACAAAAUCAUUCCAAGUUUAUACUUUUACGACCACAUGUAUAGUAACUUUUGUGAAUUAACUCUCCGGCAACUAAGUAUGUUAACAAAUGGGGAAAAGUUUUCUUCAGAAUGAAAACAAAUGCCCGGACAGUAUCUUGCUUGCAGUCAAAGGUUCUUUAAAACUUAUUUCAACACUGACAGAAGUGAUGGCUUAUGUGAAGAAUGAGAUUCUUAUUGUGCAGGCCUGGACAUAUUCCUGAUCAUGGUCAGGCCAAUGAUUAAUAAAUUUUGUGGCAAGUGCUAUACAUACACUGGGAAGUGGCUGGCAUUCCUUGUUUUGAUGGCAAUCGUUGUACUUCCAGACGGCACUGCCUUGCCCAUCAAAAGUUCCUCCACCGUUCAAUGUUAAACCAUCAAUUAUUUCAAAUAAGAUCCAUUGUUCUGAACUAUAUUCACUGAGAUCAGUUGUAGCUUUCACGUUUCCCUGUACUUCAAAAACUAUAGGCUCUGUGCUUUUGCACGGCCCUUGAAAUACGACAGGGCUUGUCAAAAAUGUCCCUCCAGGGAUAACCAUCUUAGCUGGAGCACCUGAAUCACAUGCUGCCCGCCAUGUUUGGAUAAAUGCCUGCAUGAUACACAUUGUUAGACGUUAAUUGGAGUUGCAAACCUUUUUAGAGCGCAAAUCCUGUUUAGCGAUUAAAAUCCAGGAUAGUUAAUUAUUUUGUCAGAAAAAAAUCAAACUCUUUCACGUGUUCUGUUAUUCGGUUACACAGAACUAAGCCAAGUCAGGGCAAUCAAUUAUAAGACUGGCUUUGUCUUGCGAACUCACCUCUGCGUUAUCGGUCUUAUCAUCAGCCUUGGCACCGUGUUUUGUUACAUCAAAAACUGUAACCGCGGCACCACUACCAUCAACGAGGCUACGACGGUCACUGAGACCAAUAUGGUGGCGAAGUGCACCAUCGGCCACGCAAGAGAGCAAAGCUAAGCCUAAAACAAGAAUGCUUCCUGCAAUGGUCAUGGUGACGUUUAACCCAGAAUGAAAGGUUUCUUUUUAAAUCUUCAAAGUUCUUGCAGAGGAAUGUGAAUUUUACCUCGCCAGGGUUUAUCUUUUAUAGAUUAAAAUCUCUAUCUCUAUUUUUAGUGAUGCCCCCCCAAACAUAGCACUGUAACCUUAGUUAAGUAUGAAUCUGCGUCUUCCCUGCUAUAUUUCAGGUCGCUUGCAGCCAUCGAAAUAAGAUAUCACUGUAUGUUGACUUAGAAUGACCGAUUCUUUUCCCAUAAAUAUAUAUGCACAAGUGAUCAAUACCUACUUAUAGGAAUAGAAAUCAUGGGAUGUGUAGCUCUCAACCACUGGUUUCCAGAAGAAAAAUAGAAUUUACUAUAUCAUGAACAGUGUAAUCCAAAAACAUUCUAUCUUAGGAUACACCAUAUGAAUUUAGGAUGCUUCGGUGAGGUAUAGAGCGGAUCUAAGCCACAGCUCGAUUGGCAAGCAUGAUGUUGUUCUUAUUCCUCGGAAUGUUCAAGUCUCCUUAUGAAUCCCACAAAAAAAAAUUCAAAAGCCUUAAGAUUUACAAUCACUAAUUAUAGUGAUUAAUUACAUGGAAUUAUUGUAGAGUCAUGAACAUACAAAAACCCUUAAAAUAUAUAUAUUUACGAGGUACUGGCGUUGCCACCGGGGCAGGUUUAUUAACGAAAUACUCAACCAUUAUCACACCCUUGUUCUUCUGGGCUGCCGUGUAGCAUUCAAUAGUUUCCCUUGUAUAACAAGAAGCUUGUGCACUUGAAAGCUGUUGUUGAAACGUUGAAUGCAGAGGCAUCUUUGCCUUAGGAACUGGGCCUAUAUAUGCUCUCCUCCAACAUAUUGGAAGGCUUCAAUUCCAAUCUCUGCAAGCUUGUUUGGAGGAACCAUUCUCAAGCAGUCUUCCUCUCUAUUCUUCUAGUAAUCAAAAACCUGUCUGCUGUUACUAGUGCUUGUCGUCGCAAUACCUAUGGAGCAUAACCCUUUUAUAGCAUAAGCUUAGUUCCUCUUUUUUCACAUUAUCAUGAGACAUGCAUUCUCCUCCUGUCUCUCCCCCCAAAUUGCUGGAAAAUGUAAGAGAUGCAUUGGUCAGAUUUGCAUUCAGUGGACACUUCUAACUAUCUUUACUUUCUAGAGCGGCACAUGUCUCUCUGCUGCCAGUGUAUGUUUGAAUUUUAAAUUCAAAAAACAAAAACACUAAAGGAGCUUAGGAUUACACUGUUGCCUAUUAUAAUUUUUUUCCCAUUCUUUAUAAAAACCAACGACAUAGCUGAUGGGAUAAAAUCAUCUUUUUUAGGUGAUCAUUUCGUCAUUAACAAAUUAAUUAGAGAUAAAGUGGUUUAUACUCUCUCUUUUUUUGCACAAUAAAAUAAUAAUAAUGGUACCCUUUCAUUUGUCUACCUCUUCUGAACUUUCUUUGCAUAGUAAAAUAUCAUGAACACCUUUAAAAUUUAAAAGAAAAUAUUAAACUUGCAAAGAGAGGCUUUUAGCCUUUUUCAUAUUUUUAACACAAUAAAAAGAUAAAUUGGACCUUAGAAUAAAAAAAAAGAGUCUAAAGCUAGUGUGAGAAGGUGUUUUUUUGUCUUUUCAUUAUUAUUAUUUUUUUUUUGUAAUAUUGAAUUUCAUUUGAUGGUUGCUUGGUAAUUUAAUAAAUAUUAGAUUUAAUUUUAAAAAAAUAGCAUGUGUACACACCCCGCACCUUUCUAACGGAGCGUGUGGGGGCUUUUGGUAUCCAAACACUGUCUUUAACCAUGAUGUUUUAAUUGUUUUGGCAACCUCUCCAUUAUGUGAUGGUGUGUGAGGUCAGUAAAUCUUAGAUUUUGCAUCAAUGAUUUUUUCUUUUCUUUUCUUUUUUCUCUCUUGAUCUUCUUUCUACCUUAAAUUUUCUGCCUAACCUUCAAAAUUUCAUAGCAAACCUUCAAUUGUUUUCUUCUUAAAUUUAGUCCUUUUUUAAUUUAUAUUUGUUUUUAUAUAAAAUCAUUUAUUAAAUUGAUUUUUUUUUCAAUUUCAUCCUCUUCUAUUUUUUUUCAUGUAUCAGAUUGGAUCCUCAUUCUUUUUAUUAUUAUUUAUUUUGUUUUAAAAUAUAAUUUUUUUUGUGAUUUCAUCGUCCCACAGUUUUUUUUCCUGUCAUAUUUAAUCCUUAUUUUUUUAUUGCUAUUUUUUUUCUUUGGCAAAUUUUUUAAAUUGAUUUUUUUUUCUUGGUUUCAUCCUUUAACAUUGAAUUGGUUUGGAAUUGAUAUUUUUAAUUGAGUCCAUGUCUAGGAUUUAAAAGAUUGUGAGUUUGAAAAAUUAACUUAGGUUUAGAAUAUUCACCCGGAUUUACUUUUUUUUUUCUUUUUUAAGAUUAUAUUUUUUAAUUUCAUCUUUCAGUAUUUAUUUGAUUUUAGAUUGGGCUCUGUUAUUUUUUAUUUGUUUUAUAUUGAUUUUCACUUAUUUUAAAAAUAAUCUAAAUUAUUUGUCUUUUAAUAUUGGGUUAUUUGGUGAUUAAGUUUCAUGAUUUUAUUAAACUUGCUUCCGCCAAGAUUACUUGAUUUAACAAAAAAUAUGUCUUUGUUAAUUUCUUGGUUAAUUUAUUUAUUGUUGUUUUAUUUUUUAUUUAUAAUAUUAAAUUAAUUGAAUUGUUAAACAUAAUCGAAUCAAUAACCUAAUUUGUUUUUCCUUUUUAAAAUUAUUUGUAUCGCUUUAGUUUUUAUUUUGAAAAAAAUAAAAAACACGUUAGCAUGUGGUGUAACACGUGCUAUCAAUCUAGUGCUUACUAGAGGACAAGGAACCACGUGAAUUCCCUAUCUGAACUGAAUAAUUCAUGUGGAAGGCCGCAUACUUUUAGCAUAUCCUUUGGGCAAAAAACAAAAUAUGAACUCCAACGGGGUUUUUUUUUAAUUAAGAAAGUUUGCUUUUUAUAGUUCAAAUUUUAAGAGGAGGAUCCAUCUGGACCGAUGUUUCAAUUAUUUAGCCACGGCGAACCCAGUGAUUGGUGGAGAGAAGAUAAAGAAUCUGGGAUAGGAUAUGUAAAUGUGCUUUUUGAUGAAUUUCAAAGGAGGGGUCUAUCCAAAACCAAACUUCAAAGUGUCUUCUGAAAAGAUGGAUUUGUUUAGGAUCAGAAUUUCAACCUGUUUAGAUCAAGAAUGGUUUUAAGGCCAUCAAAUAAAAAAAAUUAAAUUAUCCAGAUUAUAAAUAAUUACUUGACAGUGCCCUAUAUUAACUUUGAAAUCUUUUAAUGAGAUAUUUUAAUUAGCUUGAAUUUAAAAUUAAAUUAUGAGAAAAAUAAUGUAUUGUGAUUUGGUUAAUUUGACUAUUUUAAAGAUAAUUUAGUCAAUCAAAUAAAAAUUGAUUAUGAAUUGAAAAUAAAAGAUGAAAUUAAUAGAAAAACAAAAGUAAAAACUCUUGGUCCAAUGUUUUACCUAACCCGAAUUUAAAAAUAAAUAGUUGAGAGUUUCUUCAAUAUAACUCAAUUAACUUAAUUUGUCCAAAAGCAACUUGGCUUAUCAGUAAAGAAAAUCUCAUGAUGAAAUUAAAGAAAAAGAAGAUGAAAUUGAUAGAAAAAUCUCUUAACUAGAUUUCUUAUCUAGUUUGGAAUUAAAAUUAAAUCGUGUAAAAGUUGUGCUAAAAUAAUUCAAUUGACCUGGUAGGUUUAAAGAUAACAAAACAGCUUAUUAAAAAAAAAUUAAGAAUGAAAUUUAGAAGAAAAAAAUAAUGAAAUUAAAGGAAAAAAAAAACAAAAACAAGGAAUGCUGAAGAAAAAAAAAAGAAAAAGAAUGAAGCUAAGUUAAAGCCUUGUUUGUUUUAAAAAAACACUUUCUUGGAAAAUAGUUUUCAAACUUUUAGAUAUUUUUAACCCAAAAAAAUAUACUUUUUUUCCACAAAGAAAGUGUUGCCCUCUUCUUAAUUCCAAAUAACACUUUCUUUUUCUCUAACAUAUAAAAUAAACUUCAUACUAAUACAACUUCCACAAAUCUCUCUUUUUCCAUCCCCUUUUCCUCUUUUUUUUUUUGGUCAUUUGCAAAAUCAAGAUGGAGAUCUCAACAUUAGACAUAAGAUGGAUCCUCCCACCUCAACUUGCCAUAGUUGUUGUUGCUUCCAUAACCCAUGACAAUGGAUUCCACAUAAACCCCAAAAACCUGAGUAUUUUACUUUCAUUUAAAGCAAAUAAUUAAUAGGAUUGAAUUUUGACAUAGGAAGCUGGAAAACAUGAAGUUGCAGAGGAAACUAGCUAGCAACAAGAUCAACUACAAUCGAAGGAAAAGAAACUGAAGUUGAAACAGUUGUUGGUUCUUAAUCAGAAAUUGUUGUUUAUUUGUUGUAUCCAAACACCCCUUGCCGCUUUUGAAUGUUAUCGUCAUCUUGAAAAUUUCUUCGACAGGGACAUUAAGUACCCGCAAGCCACUCUCACAUAUUAUCAGAACAUUAUCCUUAAAAGACCUUUCAACUAAUCUAACCUUGUAAUAGACCUUCGACAGGGACAUUUACUAUUGUUAUUUUAUUCCACGACAAAGUUUAUGGUUUUCUAUGACUGAGAAGUAAAAUUGUAUGUUAGAAACGUAAAAGAAAAUUACAUUUUCAUCCCUGGUGUUUAUUACCAUCCCUGGUUCUACAAAAUAUCUAUCUUUGUAUAUAUUUAUCCCCAAUACAAUUCAUGCCAAACAAAUGGGAAUAUAUAACUCUUAAUUAAUGCCAUUAACUAAGUUGGAGUUUUCAUUAAUUUAAAAAAAAAUUAUUUUGAGGUUUUAAAAAUAAAAUUUAAUUAAAAAAUAUUUAACAAGGUUAUAUGUCUAUAAUAUUAUAUUUAAAAUAUUUAUAUUAUAUGCAUAUAUAUAUAUAUAUUUUAUAAAAUAAGAUAUAUAUAAAUAUAUGAUAUAAUAAAUUCUUUUUUCUUUCACAAAUACACUUUUUAUAUCUCUUUUUUUUAUUGUUGGUGGUGAAAUAGUUGUAUUCAAUGUUAUAUUAAGAAUUUAUUUCAACACAUAUAUACAUGUCAGGUCUAUUUUUCACACUAUUCUCUCUUCCAUUACAACCAAAAUAUUAAAACCACAUUAACUCAAUGUGGUAAAUUCUUAUUAACAAUUUUCUUAAAUUUUUUUAAGGCACCACAACCCAAACCAAUCUUUCUUACUAACACAAUUUAAAACAAUAGUAUUAACAUUAUUUGACUUAAUUCUUCACCCUAUCAUUUCUUUACCCAUGGAUAGCCUCUGGAAUGAAAGAAAAACCACAUUAUAUUUGAAAUUUUCUUUUGUUUACAUUAUUAACUAUAUCAUUUAAACCAAAAUAAUUCUAUCAAUUCACAAAUCUUUUCUUCCAAUACUAUUUUAACAUAAACCCUAACUUGCAUAGAAUUUGGGGAUUAUCAAUCCUUAUAAAAAAGAUUCAACAUAAACAAAAUUAAAGCAAUGAAAAAAUUGUACCACCACCAAUUAACCAAGUUUGCCAUGUUCCUUACUCUAUUUCUUCCAAAUAUUGCUCAUUUCACUCUCUAAAUCACUCUUUCUCUCUAACUAUAUGUCGCACAUGGGCACGUGCGAGCGGUGUCGUAGGGGUCAAGGAGUCGCAAAUUUUGUCAACCUUGUACAUUUUGGUCCUUCAACUUUUCACUUGUCAUCUUGGUCCUUUACCGUCAACUUGGACAAUCUUUUGGGCUUUAUUCAUGUGUAUCCUCUUGUAUUUUGGAUUUUUUUAUAUACUUUUUCUUCUUUUCAUAUUUUUUUUUAAUGAAGUCAAAAAUAGAUAACAACAAGUGCCCUCUCUUUACAAUGUUUACGAAGCAAAAUUUCAUCAAAAGUUUUGCAUUUAAGCUUGUAAAGAAAAAGUGUUUGUCCAACUUAUUGGGUGAUCCACCCAUCCAAAAACUUUGCUUUUAAAAUUCAAAAACUAAUCUAUUUUCACAGACAACAUAUCCUUUUUAAAUUUCAAAAAAGAAAUUCAACAAGCGUCCAUGCUUCCCUGAAAUUGGUUUAUUUUCAUGGACGACUUGCCCAUUUUAAAAUUCAAAAGUUAGUUUAUUUUCACGGGCGACCUGCCUUUUCCAAUUUUCAAAAGGAACUUCAACAAGUGUCUGUACUUCCUUGAAAUUGGUCUAUUUUCACGGGCGACCAGCACUUUUCAAAUUUCAAAAAGAAUUUUAGCAAACGUUCAUACUUCUCUGAAAUUGGUCUUUUUUCACUGGUGACCUGUCCAUUUUGAAAUUCAAAAACUAGUUUAUUUUCACAAGCGAUCUGCCCAUUUUAAAAUUCAAAAAGAACUUCAGCAAGCGUCCAUGAUUCCCUGAAGUUAGUUUAUUUUCACGGGCGACCUGUCUAUUUUGAAAUUCAAACUAAGAUUUUCAUCAAAAUCCUUCAAAACUUUCCUAAAACAAAAAACAAAAAACCCUCCAAUGGUAAACUGUUAAAACAAGUGCUUUGUCUUAUGGCCUUAGUUGUUCACACCAUAUGGAUGAGAUUUCUUUAUCAUUUCUCAACUUUCAUUCACUCAUGAAAAUUUCUCCUCUUUUCCUCUUGAUUGACGAAUCCUACACCAACAUUAUUUCAAAGUUUAGGUUAAAACAUAUGCAAUGCAUGCUUUUUGAAAUAUUACCCCAUAUUUAUUCACAAUUUCUUUUUUUGAUUAUUAAGGGUUGUAAUUUUAAAGGUGGUUAUUUUUUUUGGAUCAUCUUCUAGUUUACCCAAGCAAAUCUGUAUGAGUUACUUUCAAAUCUUGAGCGUUGAGCUGCCUUUGUAGCCAUCUCCUUAUUAUGAGUAUUUAGGCCAUGACAAAUAAUAUCCAAAUUAGGAAUGCAUUUAUAACUCUUUGCCUUAUGGCAAUGUUAUUUUUCAUGUGCUUCUAUCAAAUACACGUGACACACGUUUAGGUUUUAUUUUAGGGUGUUUUCCCUAACAAGGAUUUCACAAGAUUUAUUAUCUUUUUAAAAGCUUGAGAUUUUUCAAAGUCAUGUUAAAUAGCAAUGUUCAUGCAACUCUCAUAAUUUGUAUUAGUCUUUUCAGAAAGAUAUUUCAUCAUGGUGAUUGGUUUAAGAGAUGACCCAUUUUGUUGGGUUAAAAAAAGAUCAAAUACUUGUUUGAAGUCUUGUGUUUGAAUUUUUUCAAAAACGAUAAAUAGCUAUUAUUUUAUCAUGACUCUUGUGAAUGGUUCUUUAUGUUUUGGGAGCGUAUUUAUCAGUCUUUCUCGCUUGCUUGAUUAAAAUGGACUUUUCAAUGUACGUAAUGAAGGCUCAAUUUCAUGGCUACUAAAGAAAAGGAAUUCAUAGGCUCAAAUGAUAUUUGAGGUUCUUUAUGGGUCUAGGAUCACUUUCAUUCCUUUACACUCUUUCAUCCUCUUUUGUGCAUAUGAUAUGCUAUCAAAGUCCUUUACUUUUAGGAAUCAAGAUAAAAGGAUCUUUCCAGGUUUUCUUUUCACUCUAUACUUUUGAUCGAACACCUAAUUGACUUUUCUUUCCUGAAAUCUCUUUACUCAAUGCUCUUUUCUUUUUCAAACCCUUAAUAGAAAACCUAAACAUGUUUUUUUUUUCAUUUGCAAUUUCCUCAUUGACUUUACUUUUCUUUGUUUGUUGAAGUUGUAGGAAAAGCCUUUGCUUGUUUUUUAGAUACUCAUGUGUUUUUUCAAGAUUUUUUAUUUUAGCAAAGCUCCUCUUUUUCUUGUUGGGCUUGCAGCCUCAAUCGUGGAUUCUAUUCAUAGGUAUUCUACCUUUUUUGGGUUUUCCAACCACAUCCUUAUUAUUUUCUAAUAUUUGCCCCUAAUAUAGGGUAUGAUCCGAGGGUUAUCUUAUGAAAAAACUUCAUUUUGGCUCGAAUUGGGACUACAAUGAAUAUAUUUAUUUAUAAGGGGUAUCAAAGAAUGACCUUUACUCAUUUUCAGCAAGAUUGAUUAGGACUGAUAAAUCUUGACCUCAUCAUCGUAGUGAUUUACAUGGAAUUUUUUCACGAUUCAUGAAAACUUUAUCGUCUUUGUUUCAUGCAACUUUUAUACGAUAAAAUUUGAUGGUUGGGUCAUCUAUUUGGGUUUUUGGGUACUUAGCCAUCUCCUAGGGAGUUGCUUAGUAAAUCAUUACUUUUGACAUAUCAUUGAUUUUUUUCUUGAAAUCGUUAGUUCAAGUUAAAUCUUGAAAACCUUUGUUUAAGAGAAAAUGAUUUUUUUGAGAAAAAUUUUUUGUUGAGUCAUUUGAGAUCAUUUGCAAAAUACAUAAGAUGUAACAAGAAUGAAUAAUCAAACUUUAUUGAUUUAAAGAAGAUUAGUACAUUAUGCAUAGUACUUCUUUACUUAAUUAGACUUUACAGGCCUAGGCAAUCGUCUCUAUCCAUUCUUCUCAAUAACAGAGAUCCCCUAGAGAAUGCUCUUUUUACUAAAUAUAGGCCUUCAUAGUUCGAUGCCUACUUACUUUGAUCCUCACCGAGUAGAGGUAAAAUCUUUCUCAACACUAAAUCUCCUUCCCGAAAUGCCCUAGGUCUGACCUUCUUAUCAUAUGCUUUAGCCAUUCUUUAUUGAUACAACUGGUGAUGACAAAUUACUGCUAAUCUCUUUUCACUUAUCAGAUUUAACUGCUCGUAUCUCAUUUUAACCCUAUCAGCUUCCUCAAGUUUUGAUUCCAUUAGUACGCUUGGAGAUGAGUUUUCACUUCUAGCAGCAUUACUGCUUUCAUCCUAUAAACUAAGGAAUAAGAUGUAUCUCCUGUAGAGGUCCUUAUUGCGGUGCGAUAUGUAUGCGGAGCAAAAGAGAGCAUUUCAUGUUAGUACUUGUACGUGACUAUCAUCUUCUGUAUAAUCUUGAUAUUCUUUAGAGGGUUUAAUUGUAAGAUCAAUUUAGGUUUUAAUUAGAAGAAAAUAAAGUUUAGGGGUCGAAUUGCAAUUUUUAAAAGUUAAUUUGAUCAAAUCAGGGGCUUAUUUGCAUAAAUUUCGAAGUUUGAUGGGCAAUUAAAGACCCAAUUGAGCAAAUCAAAAACCAAGGACCAACUUGUAAGACGCGCAAGACUUUAAGGUAUGAAAUUGGUGAAAUCAGGGGUCAAAUUGAAUAAAAUUAAAAGUUUGAUGGUCAAUUUGGGGUCCAAUUGAACAAAUUAAAAACCAAUGAUCAAAUUGUAAAAAGCUCUCAAUUUUAGGGUUGGCAACUGAGUUUGACAAGGGGUGAAAUUGUAUGAAAUUAAAAGUUCAAGAGGCAAUUAUGGGUGAAAUCCAAAGAUAUUGGAAGAUUAGGGAUUAAAAUGAAGUUUUCUAAAUCCCAAAUUAAAAACCCUAAUUUGUAGGGUUUAGCCAAGAUGAUGCAUCAUUCAACCAUUAUGCAUUUUCUUCUUUGACAGUUUUUGCUGAUCGAGAAAGUUUAACAGAGGUGAAUGAAUGUGGCAUUUCCAACCACUUCUGAGGUUGUAACUGAUUAGUACGUAAAAGUGCAUUUUCAUUAAGGUUUUAUAUCAUCAUAUUGCACUUAAAGUAUCAUUAAAUUCCUUAACUUAAGCAUGCUUUAUAAUAACAAGUCUGAUAAUAUAAAAUAUCUUUAAUUUAUGGUAAAUGCUCAUUUCAAAUGCAGGCAUGUUUCACAAUUCAAAUGAUUGAUUGAUUUGUUUAACUAUUGAAAUUAAGAAGACAAAGAGAGGGCUAAGCUUAAAGAAGAGAUGCUGGUUCAAUUCAAACUGGAAUACUAUUUGGUUAUUGCAUCAUAACUGGAGCUAUAGACCUUAGAUUUAGGUCUGGUUUAUCUUGAUGGAAAGUUAAGACAAAGGCCUAAAACUUUCAUAAAGACCCCAAGAUUCAAAACGGUCGUUUUCAAGCUCAAAUCAUAGCAACAAAAGAGACGUCUGAAUCUGUCAUGCAGCCCAAACACUGUUCAGCCCAUAUCUCAAGUUCUAGAAGUCCAAAUGAGCUCAUUUUUGUUUUUUUUUAAUCUAAGACAAAUGCCCAGAACUUUCAUGAAGACUAUCUGUUCAAAUUCGGAUGUUAGCAAUGACGUUGGUUCAGACAAGAAGAUAAUGGUUGUCACCAAGUCAAGAGGUGGCCACCAACCCAAUAAUUAGUCAUCAAAUCAAUAGUUCCGAAUUUUAGCCUACAAAAGGAGGCAUUUUCCAUACAUUUAGACAUAUUGGUUUUCAUAUCAAGAUCUUGCUCUUGCUCUAUUUGCAUUUUGUAAUGUUCAAGUUUUAUUUUCAUUAAUCUCUUGUUUAUGCUUUUCAUUUCCUUUACUAUACUUAGUUAACUUAUAUCAUAACUAUGUUCUUAUCUUGUUUAUUCAUGUUUCUCAUCUUCAUUAUGUUUAGCUAAGUUUAUUUUGUCAAGGUGAAAAGGUUACACUAAUGGUGUAAAAAUAAAUAUAAUAUAAACUCAACAUAGACUUUAAUGUUUGAUAUUAACAUGUUUAUAAUUGUUAUCUUUCUCACUCUUAAUACCUUACUUGUUAAAUGGUUAAUCUAGAUUUUUGUUGUACAACCAUUGGUAUAACAAAUACUUGAUCAUUUCAUAAUCAAUUGUAUGGUAUACCCGACACCUGUGUUAUGAAAGGAACUUGAUUUGUUGUUGACAUAAGUUAUCAUCAUGAAUACCUGACAAUAUUUACAAGUAUUGGCAUUACUCAAAUAAGAUAAUUAAUAUGGUCAUGUUAAUAAGUUAUACUUAUUUGAAAUACUAUUAGUGGAUCCUUUAACCUUGACAUUUGUUUUAUCCUUGUUUAAUCCUUACAUCAAUAUCACAUCUCAAAAGUUCUCUUCAACGCCUUUUUAUUUAUUAUUUGUAAUUUUAUAUAGUUGACCUCCUUGUGGUUCGACUCCGGUCUUGUCGGGUUAAUUAUUACUUCAACACUCUUGCACUUGGGAUAAGAUAUUAAUCUUUUGAUCGUGUUAGUAACCACCACUAUUUAACUAAGAAACACCCCCCAUAACCUUAUUUCAAUGAAAUCAAAUGAUUACAUCCCAUUUUUUCCAAUGAUCUCAACAACAUUUUGUCCCUGAUCAGCUAUCAUUGCAUUUUCAGAUUCUAUGUUGAUUGGGUUGACACUUUUAAAUGAAUGUAUGUGAAGCUACAUACCUCUAAAUUGAGCAAGAAUAGAUCAAAUCGAAAGAUAUGCACCCCUCUACCAAGUUCAGGUAGUCUCAGGCAACGUUGACGUCAAAUCUUUUCCGGAGAAGCCAUGAAAGUGGCCAACCCAGUCAGCCUUAACUAAAAUACUCAUUCACACAAAACCACCCAACUUUUUCAUGUGUUCACACUUAAAAAAUCCCAAAAAGGUUCCAAUCAAAGGCUGAGAAGACUUCUCUCAAGAUAAAAAGGGUGAAACACUUCACCUUAGCCUCCAAGUUUGUUACAAAGCCACUUAAAUCCAAAACCAUUUAUCUUGUGAUAAAACCAACCUAGUUUUUGUUUUUUAAAACCCCCACAAACUUAUUUAGAAGCUCAGAAUCAACCUAUAAAGGGAGAGAUAAUCAAAGGAGAAAAGAGGAUAAAAAAGACAAAGAAAUAUGGAAGAAAUUUGGUUAAGGUUUAAAGAAUCCAAAAUCAAGCUCAUGAGCAUAAAAGGACCCAUUUGUUUUUUAUGGGUUUAGAGAUAAGAAGAAAGGAAGGUAGUAGGAGAAAUCUAUUCUUUUUGAAGAUUUCAAGCUUGAAAGGUAUAUUCUUGCAAGCUUUGAAAGUGGAGUCCAUGAGGCUUGUUGGAUUUUGUUUUAUUGUUCAAAUGCAAUUUUUUUUUAAUGUGUUGACAUGAUGAUUACUACCUUAAUAUAUUAAGUUUACACUUUAUUUUGAUUUAAAAUUUGCCAAAUAUAACAGCAAGGUUAUGAUUUUUUUUUUUUUGUGUUGGGUGAUGCAUGUUUCUGGGUUUCUAAGUUUUGUUUGGUUCUUAUUGAAGAUUUCGAAGAAUAUUUUAAAUCCAAAUUGUAUAAAUAUAUAGGCUUUUCUAAGUUGGCAGUUUUGAAUCUCUUACAUGUUUUUUGAUGAUUUAUUGUUUUUUAUAGUUUUUUUUUCAACUAUGCUUGACAUUGAUAAUAUGGUUUAUUAGAAUGAAAAUAAAUAAAUUUAGAGGCCUAAAAUGACCAUUCUAGGUUGGAUAGUGACUAGCUUUUUCUAGGUUUCCAAGGUAGUGUUCUUUAUGUUCAUGGGAAGAACUGUAAACCUUUAGAUAAAAUAAUCUCAUCUUGAUUUAGUAAAGUAAAAUAAAAUAUAAGGAUGUGGAGAAAUGAUUAAAUUGAAUAAGUUAAUUGGAUUAAAAGAGAAGUUAUUUAAUGAGAGGGGUGAAAUUGAAAACAAUAAUAAAGAAGUAAGGAGUUAGUAAAGAGAAAAAGAAGUAGCAGGGUCAAUGGAUUAAUAAAAGGAAUGGUGGGGUCAAUGUGAAAAUAGAAGUAACUAUAAAGGGGCAAGAUACAAAUAAGGAAAGAAUAUAAUUAUAAAUAACAAGAAAUCUCUAGAAAUUCCUAGAGUAAUGGCCACCCAAGGAGAGGAAGAAAGACGAGAAAAGAAAAAUUAAGAAGAAACCUUGUAGAUUCAUCCUUUGAAUCCAAAGAAAAAUAAGAGUAAGUGAACUAAGAGUGCUUCAAGUAAGAAUUAGGAAGAAAACUUUGAGAAAACCUAGAGAAUUUACUAGUGGGAAGGGAAAGGUUAGAAGAAGGAAGAAAGGGGAAGAAGAAAAGGGGUUGUUCUCAAUCUCUUGACUCAUUUUUUUUGUAAUAAAAGGUAACAAACUCUGUUAUUAAAUUACUUGAACUUGUUUGUGUUUUUCUUGAAUAAUUGAGAUUUUAGAAUACCUUAGUAUAGGUUUAAGAAGUUUGUUAAAUAAUGAUAGGUAGAGGUAUUUUGUGUUUAUAGUGAUUGGAAAUGAUGCAAAAAUGCAUGGGAAACGAAUUUAUACUUGUUGAACUUAGAAAUCAAAACUGGACAGGUUGUCUUUCAAUUUCUCUACCAAGAUUUGAACUCUAAGAUGACAAAAUUUGAGAUAGUUUUCUUCAUAAAAGUUGUAGACAUGGAUGUUAUUUUUCAAAUGAAAUUAACCUUACUUAAAUUGGAGUGACAAAACACUAAAUAUGGAAGAAAAUCUGAAGAUAGGUCAAAACUCGGGAAUCAGCAGGACAAAUUUUUGGGUUUCUGCAAUUUGUGAAUUUAGGCAUUUAGAUGGAAAAACCGGGUAUAUUCAUCUUCAUAAAGUUGUAGACCUAUGUUUUAGUGUUCUAAAGAAACAAACCACGCAUAAAACUGAGUUCUAUAGCUUCAGUUAUACUCCAAAUACUAAACAGUGGUUGGAAUUCGUUAUUUUGAGCUACCUAAAACUUGUAAAUUAGUAACUUCUGUUUGGAAUUGUUUUUUAUUAAAAAAUGUUGAAUUAUGAAGGUAGUACGUAUAUGUGUGUAUGUGUGGUCAAGACUUGAAAUUUAAAUUAGUGUAACUAUUGGUACAGGUGAGAUUGUGAGAAAUAGACGAGAGUAGGGGAUGAUUAAUAGAGCAUAGAUUUCAGGUAAGUGUCUGACAUUUAGAUCUAUAAUUUGAAGUCUUGUUUAAUUAUUUAUCUUAGUCCCUAAUAAGAUUUUGUUCAAAUUUUUGCAUUUAUCAAAAUGGCCAAUGAAUAUAAAAAGAAGACAACCUUCGUUAUUCCAUUGAGAACUUUUUGCUACAAAGUGAUGUCAUUCGGACUAAAAAACGUUGGGGCCACUAAUAAAAAAAGCAAUGAUAACUCUAUUCCAUUACAUGGUGCAUAAAGAAAUUGAAGUGUAUAUGGAUGACAUGAUUGCUAAAUCCAAGAAGGGAGAAGACCAUUGUCAGAAUAUGAGAAAACUAUUUGAAAGGUUGAGAAAGUAUCAAUUGAAGUUGAACCCCGAAAAAUGCUUAUUUAGGGUCAAACAUAGAAAACUACUGGGAUUUAUAGUGAGUAGCCAAGGUAUUGAAGUUGACAUCGAUAAAGUAAAAGCAAUUCAGGCCAUGUCAACACCUAAAAUAUAAAAAGAAGUAAGAUGGUUUUUGGCGUUUGAAUUACAUUGCUUGAUUUAUAUCUCAAAUGAUAACAACUUGUGAGCCAAUCUUCUAACUCUUUUGAAAGAAAAAUCCUGGGGUAUGGAACUAGGAAUGCCAAGAAACUUUUGAUAAAAUCAAGCAGUAUUGGCAAAAUUCAUCUUUCCUGAUGCCUCAUGUUUCUGGCAGACUGUUGAUUCUAUAUCUGACAAUAACUGAAAAGGCAAUGAGAUAUGUACUCAAGUAACAUGAUGAGUCUAAAAGAGAGGAGAGAACGAUUUAUUAUUUGAGUAAGAAGUUCAUAAAUCGCGAGUCCAGAUACACAAUGGUAGAUAAGCUUUGUUGUGCUCUUGUAUGGGCUACAAAACAACUUCAACAGUAUAUGUUGUAUUACACUACAUGAUUGAUUUCAAAAUUGGAUCUUCUUAGAUAUAUCUUUGAAAAACUUUAUUUAUCAAGUAGGAUAGUAAGAUGGUUGGUGUUGUAGUAUGAGUAUGACAUCGUGUACAUGACAAGAAAAGUUAUGAAAGGAAUUGUUAUUGCUGAUCAUUUGGCAGACAAUGCAACUGAAGAUUAGGAACCUUUGAAUUUUCAUUUCCCAAAUAAAGAUAUGCUGGUAGUAGAAAAAGAAAAAGAACUAGACUAGUGGACAAUGUAUUUUGAUGGAGCAGUAAAUAUACAUGGCAAUAAAGUAGGAGUAGUGAUAAUUUUCCCUAACAUAAAGUAAUACAUUGUUUUGAUCAAAUUGCAAUUUGAAUGCACCAAUAAUAUGGCUGAGUAUAAAGCUUGCAUUCUUAGAUUAGAAGGUGCAUUAGAGUUGAAGAUAAAAAAACUUGAUGUUUAUGGAGACUUAAUGCUGAUAAUAUGUCAAGUUAAAGGAGAAUUCCAAACAAAAAUUGAGAAAUUGAGGCCAUAUCAAUAAUAUAUGUCCAAACUAGAAAAAGAAUUUGACGAGAUAAAAUUCAACAAAAACUAAUUUGUUGAUGAUUUGGCCACUUUAGCUUUCAUGGCCAAAAUCGAUUAUGGGAACAAAGUACAACCCAUAAGUAUUGAAGUCAGGAAUUAUUUGGCCCAUUGCUGCUCAAUUAAAGGAGAAAUAGAUAAGAUUCUGUAUAUUAUGAUAUCAAAUAGUUUAUCCAACACCGAAAGUAUUCCCUGGGGCAUCCAAUACAGAUAUGAAAACCCUGCGAAGGUUAGCUAUGGACAAUUACCUCGAUAUUUGAAGUGUUAUACAAGAGGUCGUCCGAUGAAAAAUUAUUGAGAUGUUUGGAUGGGAUAUAAGCAAAAAAGACGCUCCAAGAAGCUCAUGAAGGGAUUUGUGCAACUCAUGUUAGUGGACAUAUAAUUUCUAGACAAGUACAGAUGUCAGAAUAUUUUUUGAGGACCAUGGAAAGAGAUUGCAUAAAAUAUAUCAGAAAAUGCCAUAAAUGUCAAGUGUACAGUGAAAAGAUAAAUAUGCAUCCAACUCUUCUAUUAAAUUUAACAUCUCAAUGACCAUUUGCAAUGUGGGGAAUCAAUGUAAUUGGGCUUGUCAAUCCAAAGGCUAGCAACAGACAUCAGUUUAUCCUAGUGGCCAUUAACUCCUUCAUAAAAUGGGUAAAAGCUAGUUCACAUGCUCAUGUAACCCCUAAGGUAGUGAAGAGAUUCAUUGAAUGAGAUUUAAUUUGUCGAUAUGGAGCACCAGAAAAGAUAAUGACUGAUAAUGCUUAGAACUUCAAUGGAAGAAUGAUAGUAGAGAUUUGCACAAAAUGAAAAAUCAAACACUCAAAUUCAUCUUCAUACAAGCAAAAAAUGAACGGUACUGUAGAAGCUGCCAACAAUAAAUUUGAUUGAGCCUUGAAAAAAUUUCAGUUGAGUCCCUAAACAUCCAAAAUUGAAUUUUCCUCCUCGAAUUGAAUUUUCUAUGUCAAUAGGGUCUUUAUUAGUCAAAAAUAUAUUGUCAGGUCUAAUUUUGAUCUUCCUCUAAUAGUCUUUGGCCAUUUCUUAGGCGUUCUGAUACGUUCUCAUAUAUAUAUAUAUAUAUAUAUAUAUAUAUAUAUAUAUAUAUAUAUAUGAUUUUAUUCCAACAUUUCUUUCAAUUUUUUGUAUUAUUGUUUUUAUGUGGUUCAUAAAAAAUGAAUAACAACAGAUGUCUCCUCUUUACAAUGACUUGUUAAGUGCUUUGCAUAGUAAGUUUGUAAAGACAAACUAAUUGUUCUUCCAAAACUUAUCUUCUUGAAGCUUCUAGUUCAGUUGACUUGAAACUCUGUCUUCGCAACAACUUUUUCAACUAGAACUAUGAUUAAACUGUUUACAACUUGGAUAACCUAAAAUCUCAAUCUAGUAAUUCCAUUUAACCAGAAUCAAAAGCUCAGUCAACCUGAGAUCCCAAUCUGGAGAUCCCCUUUAACUAGAAUCAAAAUUUGAAAACCAGCUUAGCUAACCUGAAAUCUCAAUCUGACUAUUCCCUUUAACUAGAAAUAAAAGCUAUGUCAACCUGAGAUCUCAAUCUGGCAAUCCCCUUUAACGAGAACCAAAAUAUAAAAAACAGCUCGGCUAACCUGAAAUCCUAAUAAGGUGAUUUCCUUUAACUAAAACCAAAAGCUCGAUCAACUUGAGAUCCCAAUCUAGCAAUCCCCUUUACUUAGAACCAAAAAAUCUUUAAAGCUUAGCUAACUUGAAAUCUUAAUAUGGUGAUUCCUUUUAACAGAACAAAAAUGUUGCCUUCAGCUCAAUUAACCUGAAAUCUCAAUUUAGAGACCCCCUUUAACUGAAACAUUGAUAUUUGUCUUUAACUCGAUCAACCUAAAAUUCCAAUUUAGUGAUCCCCUUUAACCAGAAUCAAAAUGUUUCCUUUAACUCAAUUAACCUAAAAUCUCAAUCUAGAGACCCCCUUAAACCAAAACCUUGGUCUUUGUUUUUAGCUUGGUCGACCUGAAAUCUCAAUAUUGCGAUCCCGUUUAACCAAAACCGAAACGUUUUGUUUCCUCUUUCAGCUCAGCUGACCUGAAACCUUGAAUCUCAGUGAUCCCCUGCAACUAGAGUUUUCCAAAGACUCCUUUUUUAUUGGUCUUUCACUUGUCUAGUCUAAUUUCAAGAAUUAUUUGUAAAAUAAAAAACUUGUGCAAUGUUUUAGGGUUAAAUGCAUGCAUUUUAAGGGCUUUUAUUCGUUUUCUUUUUAUAUUACUUGUUUUGUUUUAGGGCAUAAAUCUUUUUUAAGAAACAAAACUUUAAAAGACUUUUGUUUGUUCAUGAAAACUAAAACUUUCAAUGUAUUCAUCAAAAUAGUUCCUUAAGUAAAUCCCCUUAAGGGUUUUAUCGGAUCUCAAAAUAUGGUUCGUUUAUAGGUCAGGCUUUUACCGGAGGUGACCUUCUAUUUCAGUUUUUCAAAAAGGUUUCAAUUAUUUACUUGAAGAGAUCUGUAUAGAAAUUUUUUUUUUCCUCAUUUUAGAAUAUACAAUUUUCUUGCAUGGAUAAAAGCGGGUGACUACUCAUUUAUCAUGUCAUGUGAACAAUAAGAUCACCGUUUUUCAAACAAGGUUGUGUGUGCUUAAUUAGAAAGGACUUCUAAAGGCACGCAAUGUAGGCUAUGGCUAUGGUUAUGGGCUAUGAAAGAAAUAUAUGUUUUUUAGGCUCAAAAAGUAUUUAAGGGUUUAAAACUUAGGAUCACUUUUUUUCUAUCUCUUUUAUCUUGUGAGGCUAUCUCAUGGACUUUGUUUGAAUAAACUCUUUUUAUGAAUGAAGAGUCUUGCUUCAGGAUCUUUGCCUCCGUCUUAGAAUGUUAUCAAACCAUUCUUUUCUAUUUUUUUUACUUCUUCCUUUUUUUAUUUUUUGUUUCCUCAUUCUUGUCCUUUCCUUUUUAUGAUUAUGCCCCCUAGUGUUAGGUUCUGACUUUCAUAGAUUCAUGUGUGCAUUAUGACAUUUUGCUCUUAUUUUCAUCUUUUUUUGCCCCUUAGUGUGGAGUGUGAUCCUAGUCAGGGUUUUUGUGAGGAAAAACUUAUUCAAACUCAAAUAGAAACCACAAGGGAUAUAUUCUUAGAAAGUGAAUGGACAACAUAGAUAGUCUUACCUCAUUUCAAACACACAUCAUUAGUAUUGAUAAACCUUAUCCUUUUUUCUGAAAGAACUUGUAGGUGAUUAUAGAUUUACUACCAACCAUUUAUCUAUGCAAUUCAAAAUGUUAUUCAGAGACAAGGUUCCAUCUCAUAGUUAGCUCUGGUUUAUUUGGUUUGGUCACCUUUUAAUCGAGAAUUGCUUAAAUCUCAUCUUGAGCAUAUUAUGUUUCAUUCAUUGCAAUCAUGCACAAAACCAGUUCUUUAUAAGAUUUGUUUUUAGAAAAAGGAUUUCAAAUGUUGUGAGAUCAUGAAAUUUAUAAAGGUUCUUUACACUAAGAAUUCAUGGUCAAACUUCCCUUUAUUGACAUAGAAAGAAAGUUGGAUACAUCAUGCAUAAUAUCUUUUUACAUAAUCAGAAUUCACAAGUCUAGCUAAAUCUUCUUCAUCCAUUAUAGACAAUCUUAGAGCUCUUCUUAAGAAAGUCUUCUUCACUACAUAAGGACCCUCGUAGUUUGGUGCUCAUGUACUCUCGUGUUUUCCUAGUAAGGGCAAUAUUUUUUUCAGCAUUAGAUCUCCUUCUUAAAAUACUCAAGGUCGAACUUUCUUGUCAUAUAUCUUAACCAUUCUUUUUGGUAAAGUUGGUGAUGACAAAUUGUAGUUAUCCUUUUUUCAUUGAUCAUGUUUAGUUGUUCAUACUUCAUAUCUUACUUUGGCCCACUCGGCCUUUUCUAACUCAGAAUCUAUCAAUAGUCUUAACGAGGGGAUAUCUACUUUCAAAUGUAUCACCGCCUCCAUUCCAUAUACCAAAAAAAUAGGGUAGCUCUCGUUGAAGUUCUUGUUGUAGUGUGAUAUGUAUGGAGGGUAAAUGACAACAUCUCAUGCCAAUCUUUGUAGGUGAUCACUAUUUUUUAAAUAAUCUUUUUGAAAUUCUUAGUGGCAACUUCUACAACUUUGUUCAUCUUUGACUUGUAUGGUGAGGAAUUGGAAUACUUGAUUUUUCACUUGACACAUAGCUCUAUUAUCAUCUUGCCAUUGAAGUUCUGAGAAUUAUCAAUCACUAUUUUUUAUGAUGGACCAUAUCGGCAGAUCAAGUCCUUUUCUAUAAAUCUUCUUACCAUCUUUUGUGUUACAUGUAUAAAUAACUGGCUUCUAUCCAUUUUGUGAAGUAGUCUAUAGCCACAAGGAUAAACCUAUGACCAUUAAUGGCUUUUAGAUUGAUAGGUUCAAUCACAUCAAUUCCCCAAAUCGUAAAUGGCCAUGGAGAUGUUAGAUUGAACAUGGGAGUUAGAGGUGCAUUGAUCUUAUCGCUAUAUGCUUGACACAUAUAACAUUUCCUGACACAGUCAAUACAGUCCCUUUCUAAUGUUAUCCAGAAAUAACCAUCUCUUUGUAUUAUAUGAAAAUUGGACUAAUAAUAUUUUUUUAUUGAGAAUAAGCUUUAAAUAGGUUUUAUACGAAGAAUACAUUAACAAGCAUGAUAGAAGUCUAAGAAGGAAGAAAAAUGAAGACUUAGUUUAAGUAUUAAUUUUUAGUGUUAAAUGUAAAUCUUUAUAUCCUACGUGAUAACACAAAUUAAAAUGAACACACUUCACUUUGCAUGCAUUUAAAAGGAUUGAUAAAGAGGUUCUAAGAAAUCACUAGGAUUAAAAUUAUCAAAACUGGAAUUUUGCAUGAACCAGUUGAUCGUUUGAUAAUACCAAAUGAACCAGUUGACCACUUGUUCAUCCGUGAUGAGCAUUUGAGAAUUAUAAAGGAAUUGGUCGACUGAUUGGCUUGACUAAUUUGAACAAAUCAACCAUUUCAGCCAUUAAUGGAGUUGUAAUGGUUAUAAACGACUAGUUUUUGCUAGAAACAUAUAUAUAGCUUGCCAGAUUAUAGAAUUGAAGGAAGAAUACACACACACACACACACACACACACACACACACACAAGCUAUUUUAAGAGCAAAAACACUUUACAUAAUUAAUCUUUAAUAUACUCAUAUUUGUGCAUUAAAUUGAACAAGAGUAUACACUCUCAUUCUUACAACACUUAGACCCCGUUUGUUUGCUGGAAAGUAGUUUCCUUUUGGAAAGUGAAUUCUGGGAAAGUGAAUUAUUUUCUGAUGUGUUGGUAAUGUAAUGAAAAAUAAGUUGGAAAACACUUUCCAGUGUUUGGUUAUGUCAUGGAAAAUGAGCUGGAAAAUAACUUAUUAAUUUUUUAUUUUUCUCAAGUUUAUUAAAAUAAUGAGGAACAAAUCUUACAAAUUAAAAAGUUGAAUGAGAAUAAAAUUGAAAAAAAAUAUAAUUUCAUAAAUUAUCUCAAAUAAAAUAAAUAAUAAUCAAAAUAAUAGAGAUAAAAUCUAAAAAAUAAAAAAAAUGAAAGAUGAAGAAAUUAAAAUAAUAAUAAUUAACAUUUCAUAAAUUAUUUCAAAUAAAAUAAGUAACAAUCAAAAGAAUGAGGAUCAAAUUUGAUAGAUAAAAAAUUUCAAUAAAAAAAUGAUAAGGGAAAAGCAAAUAAGAAUUAUAAAAAUGAGGACCAAAGUUAAUAUAAAAAUUAAAUUUUAAGAGAUGAAAUUGAAAAAUAAAUAUUCAAAACAAAAUAUAUAUAGCAAUCAAAAGUUUGAGAACCAAAUUUGAUAUAAUCAACAAAUAAUAUGAUAUUUCUAAAUUUUUCACAACUUCCAAAAAGUGUUUUCUGCCCAAAUUUUCUAGGAAAACACUUUCCUGGAAACCAAGCCAAAUUUUCCUUUGACUGGAAAGUAUUUUUCGUUGACCAACUUUUCUAAUGGCAAACAAACACAGGAAAGUUUGGAAAGGGUUUUCCGGAAACUACUUUCCGGAAAACAAACAUAACCUUAAACACUUUAUAAUUCAUUAAGUGUUAUGUAGUGAGAUAUAAAGAUACUUAGAUUCUUAAUUGUAAAAUCCAUUAGAUUGAUAGAGUAAUUCUGUGAUAACAAAAUCAUAUUUGUAAACCCUUGAGAAAACCUUAAAAGAGAGAACAUCUUUAAGUGAUGUAAUAAGUUAUGUGUGGAUUCAUCAAGUGACAAUUGUACCUUUUGACUUGGGCUAGUGAAAGAAUAUAAUACUCAAGUACGAUUUGGAAGAAUAUAAUACUCGAGUACGAUUUGGAACUUGAGGUGUUAAUAUAAGCUUAUCGAAUCACGUUCAAAACUGAGUUUGUAAUUUCUCUCUCUUAUCUUUUAUUUUAAGCAAUUGUUGAUUAUUGUUUGUUAUUUUGUUUAAUUAAAUUAAAUUGUAUUAUUUUUUAAUAUUAGUGGAAUACUUAAUUCACCCCAUAUGUGUUAUUGUUGCCUUAAUCAUAGAACAACAUCUUUUACUGCAAAUUUUAACAGUUUUAAUUAAUGAAUAAAGAUUGAGUUUUGCUUGUGUAAAUAUGGUUUUUUAACUGAGACAAAUAUCACAAAUUGACUUAUUAACAUAUAAUUGGUUUUGUGAUAUUUUUUCAUGUUUCGAGUUUUUGAUUCAUUAUAAUCAACAGUCCAAGUUUAAUUGCUAAUAUGUUUAAUUUUCAGAUACAUAAUUAUUUUUAAAUUAAAUUCUUUUAUUCGAACUUGAUUUUUAACUUUUUUAUGUUUGUUAUCUUCUCACUUGUUGGUUUCUGAAUAAUAUAUUCACGGGAUUCACAGCACCAACAAACCUUCCACUUUUCACUUCUCGGGAAGAGGAAUGAGAGGGAGAAAUAACUAGCUCUCAAGCUAUCCUUUCAAUUUGGAAAGACAACCUCAGCCGGAACCCGAGAAGGCACUGGAUAACCAAGAGAGCGAGUCACUAGAUGUAAGAACCCAAUAUAAUUAUCCGUACGCUGACACAUUCAAAAUGAUGAAGAUGCGUUUUGGGUAUGUGAAGAUUGGCUCGGAGAAACCUACCGCCACCUUGGGGAUAAGAUUUGCUAAAAAAUAUCCCUAUAUGAAUUUGAAAAGCAUUAUCACAGGUCAAUUUGUCUUUUGAUAUCUCUUCGUCCUUGAGAGGCUCAGAGUACCUCAAAUCAAUCCAGAAUUUUUAUUUUUUUUCUUUCUAGUCCUUUCUUUUUAGUCUUCGUUAUAAAUUCAAUUUAAUCCCUUGCAUCUUUGAAAUUAUUACACCCCACAGCAUAAAUACGAAGAUACCUUCACCAUUAAAAGAACAAUCAUAGCGCACAUCGAUUAACGUAAAUUGAAUAGGAAACGGGAAAGGAGCAUCCAAAGUUCGACCAAUAGUUGAGCAAAACUGGUUUGGCUUUGUUUUUUGUUCGAAUAUAAACGAAUAAAGAUCGACCAACAGGGAGAAAAAUGAUGCUACAGAAAACACGCUGAAGCAUCAUCUUGUCUGGUUAGGCAAAGGAAUAAAAAAGAAAAAGGUAAAAGGAUCAUUUGUUCGUUGCAAAUACUGUUUAGCUGAUUGCCCUGAAAUCCCAUGACUGAGAACCUCCACCGGGACCGGUUUCACCUCGCCAUACAUGCUCGCUGGAAACGGGUGCGGUGCCGGCUAGUCAAGGUGGAAGCCCACCUUUGGGCUAGACGUCUUUGGGUUCUCUUCCGCCCCUGUGUGAUGCAAUGUUCGGUCAACAUCCUCUGUCUUCAGAAAAAGUAAUUUGCUCUUUUAUCAAAAGAAAAACGACAAAUUCUAGUAACCAACAGUAUGCAAAGAAACGCAUUGCCAAUUUUUUCUUUUUCCCUAUUAAAUUAACUUCCCAUUUAAUUUUAGAUGGUUUGAUAUUGUAAUAAUAAUUGUUUUUUAAAAUAUUUUUUUAUUAAAAAAUACAUUAAAAUAAUAUAUUUUUUAUUUUUUAAAAUUUAUUUUUAAUAUUAACAUAUAAAAAAUAUUUUUUAAAUAUAAAGACAAACUGGAUAAAGUUCAGUUGUUUCCAAUGUAACUUUCUGGUCAAGGAGGUAGGACCAGAAGGAGUCAUUCAUUAGCAUGGCAUUCGAUGGUUUUAUCGCCAGCAUGUUUUAGUUCGGUAUUAUCAUCAAGUAACCAUUGGAAGAAUAAAAAAAAUUGCUUUUAUUUUAUUUUUUUCGAACUCAGCCAUCUUUCUCGUGUCAUCUUUGAAAUAGUGAUUCGAUAUUGAUAUUGUAUUGGGAUAAAAACCAUGAAGUUAUUUAGAACAAACUAGAUAUGUUCCUCGUACAUUGUCACGGACCACACAAUUUUUUUUAAUGUAAAGAAAGUGGUAAAUUAAAAAAAUAUUAAUUCUUAAUUCAUUGGUUAAAUUGAUAAUUUAAAUAUUUACAAAAGAAAACCAACAACAUUAAAUAAACCUAUAAAAAACAUAAAAAAUUAAUAUUAAAAAAGAUAUUUAUAUCAUGGUAAAAAGAUCAUUCUAUCCCAAAACUAAGAUAAAAAUUUAAAAUAUCAAGAGAUAAAAAAAUCUUGAUAUUAUUAUAAUGAAUAGUAUUUUGCAUCCUAGAACACGAUAAAUAUUCAUAAGAGAAUUAAUGUUUUGGAUGAUGAAUAUAUACUUUUAAUUUUUAUAAUUUAAAAAUAUAAAAAGUUUAUUUAAAAAUUGUGUUAAUGAAAUUUAUUUUUAUAUCUUUAACUUUGUUAUUAUAAAAAAUUAUUUUAAUUAUUUUAUAUUUAUUUUUUUAUUCCAUAACACAUUUAGAUUUCAUUUUGAAUGUGAAAUGAUAAAACAUCAUUAAAUGAAUGAUAUACAAACUAUAAAAAAUCAAAGUAAAACGUACCAAAGUAAAACGUACCAAUCCAAUUAUAGCAUUCCAAGAACAUCUCAAAUCAUUGUCAAAUUACAAAAAAACAAAUUAACUGGAUAAUACACACAAGUGGCGGGAUAUUUGGUGGAAUAAGGCGUGUUUGGUGGGUUUCACCGGCAGUUUUGCCAAAAUUUGAUUUGUUUUUGUUUUAAUUUUUUUGAAUUUUUUUAAUGUUUUUAUAUCAAAAAUAAAUUUUAAAAAAAUAAUAAAAAAAUAUUUUAAUACAUUUUACAAAUAAAAAAAUAAUUUAAAAAACAAACAAUAUAACUUUCCAAACAGCUCCUAAUUCAGAUGCCAUUUUUUUUUUUUUUUAAAAAAGGAAAACCGCCAGCGCCGAGGACUCAGUACCCUCGUCCCUUGUUUUGAGCAUCUAACAGUGACAGUUUCCCAAUAGCGAUCGUUCAAAAAUCAAACACGCAAUUCUCAUUUUCUCUUUCUCAGCUAUUUACUAUAAAUUGGCCUCCUCUUCCUCAUCCAAAGUAAGUAACACACACACACACACACUCUCUCUCUCCCUCUCUUCUCCAAUCUACAACCAGUUUUUUAAUUCCUGAUCACCCAGACCAUACUAGACCAUACAGCUUCUUCUUUGAUCGAUCAUGGCAAACCCUAAACUUGAAAGAAUUCCCAGCAUGAGGGAGCGCGUGCAGGACACUCUCUCCGCUAACCGUAACGUGCUUGUCUCUCUCCUCUCCAGGUUUCUACCAUCAUUUCUCUCUCUCUCUCUCUCUCUCUCUCUCUCUCUUGUUUUACAGGAAGUAGUAACUUUUUUAUUGGUAUUGUGGAAGGAAGGUAUGUGGAGCAGGGAAAAGGAAUUCUGCAUCCGAAUAAUCUGAUAGAUGAACUGGACAAUAUCGUGUGCGAUGAUGCAGCAAGGCUGAGUCUCAAAGAUGGUCCAUUUAGUGAAGUCCUCAAAGCUGCGCAAGUCAGUCCAUUUUCUUUUUAUUUAGUUACUGAUUGUUAUAAUUUAUGCUUGUUCUUAGUUAGUUGCUUUGGGAUUUUUUUUUGUUUGUGAAUUUUACAAAGCUUGCAACAAAUUAUUGCUUGGGAUUAUAAUUUUUCUUUUUAUUAUGUUCUUCUUUUUUGAAAAAAAAAAUGUAUUGAUGGUGAUAUGUAUAGGAAGCCAUAGUUCUGCCUCCUUUUGUGGCCGUAUCAAUUCGUCCGAGACCUGGAGUUUGGGAAUACGUACGUGUUGAUGUCUCCCAACUGAAUGUGGAGGAAUUGACUGUUUCACAAUAUCUUCGUUUCAAAGAAGAACUUGUUGAUGGCCCGUAAGCAUCUUCGCACUCUUUCUUUUCCUUUUAUGGUGAAAUUAUUGGUUUACUUUUUAUCAUUUCGCUACAGAACAUCUCAUGUAUCCAUGACUCUGUUUUGUUUAUUUAUUAUUUUUUUGUGGUCACUUUCUUACUAAAAAUCUUUGGGUUAUUUAUGUGCAUGAUUGUUUAUGUUUUUGGUUUUUUUUUUCAUUACUUUUCUUUGGGCCAUUGAUUAACGACCUCUUUGUUAUUUUUUUGAAUAGAUCUAAUGACCCUUAUGUGCUUGAGCUUGAUUUUGAGCCCUUCAAUGCCGCUUUUCCUCGUCCCACCCGGUCAUCAUCAAUUGGCAACGGUGUUCAGUACCUCAACCGACAUCUUUCUUCAAAUAUGUUUCGUAAUAAAGACACUUUGGAACCUUUACUUGAUUUCCUCCGAGUCCACAAAUACAAAGGGCAUGUAAGUAUGUCGUGGAAGGGCCUCCUUUAAGAGUGCCUAUAACUUCCAGAUUUAGGCAUUUAUCCUCUGUGUUAUUGUUGAUUGUUAUUGCACAUUCAGAAUUUAUUAUGAUGGUAUUCACAUGGCUUGGGUUUGAAACAUGUGGAAGAAGGAUGAUGGGAAUAGUACUUAGUAUGGGGUUUCAGUGGAGCUAAAUGAUUGAAUUAAGGAUUAUUUGCAGGCCUUAAUGUUGAACGAUCGGAUAAAAAGUGUAUCCCGACUUCAGUCUGCUCUUCUUAAGGCAGAAGAGUAUAUUUCGAAGCUUCCUUCUGAAACACUGUACACUGAGUUUGAAUAUACGUAAGGAUCUUGUAUCUUUAACUCGUUGGAGUAUGUUAACAGUGAAAUUAAUUUGUUGAACACUCUUUCUACGUGCCUAAAGAUUUUCUUUUCUUGUUUCACUCUGAUUCAGCUUUCAGGGAAUGGGUUUUGAGAGAGGGUGGGGGGAUACUGCAGCUCGGGUACUGGAGAUGAUGCAUCUUCUCUUGGACAUACUCCAAGCUCCUGAUCCCUCAACUUUAGAGACAUUCCUUGGGAGAGUACCAAUGGUGUUCAAUGUUGUUAUUUUGUCUCCACAUGGAUACUUUGGGCAAGCAAAUGUUUUAGGUUUGCCUGACACUGGUGGGCAGGUAUGUAUGGCUUUCUUUCAACCUUCAAUGUUUUCUUUUUUACAUCUCUGCAGCGUGCAGAACAAAUACUUAUUUAUGCUGCAUGGUUAUUUCCUUUAUUAAGACAGUUGGUUCCUAAUGUACUUCUAGAUUGUGUAUAUCCUGGACCAAGUUCGUGCUCUGGAGAAUGAAAUGCUCCUUAGAAUACAGCAGCAGGGAUUGGACUUUAAGCCUAAGAUUCUAAUUGUAAGUGCAUUUAUGCUUGUCUUGGGUCCAUUACUUCAACUUUAUCACUUUGAUAGCUGUUGAUUGUCCCUCUUUCUGUAAUACAUUUUCCAUCGAUUCUUGAAGGUUACCAGGUUAAUUCCUGAUUCAAAAGGGACUAGCUGCAACCAGAGGCUGGAAAGAGUCAGUGGAACGGAACACACUCACAUUCUGCGAGUACCAUUUAGAUCAGAGCAUGGGAUUCUCCGUAAAUGGAUCUCAAGGUUUGAUGUGUGGCCAUAUUUGGAGACAUUUGCUGAGGUAGAACAUGGUUAUCCUAUAUCAUUAUAAAGUGCAAGUACCAUUCAUAGUUCUUAUUUUUGUUUUUAUUAUUAUCAAAUCUUGAUAACACUGUAAUCAAAUUUUUUGACAUGCUCAUAGUUUCAUGGUAUCCAUAUAAUUAAUGAGUAUCAUGUGUCAAGAUUUUCACUUUUAUCAUCAGUUAAACAUAUCUGCAGUCAUUUGACAAUUUUCCAUUUUCAUUAGACUACAUCUUAUGCUCUAUUUUUGUAUUAACAUUGCACUGAUGCAGCUGUCAAUUUACUGCCUCUUCCUUUUACCAUCAUCACCUCCUUUCUCCUUAAUGUACAUGUAGCUUAAGCAUAAAGUUUUAAAUUUUUUUUCAUUUAUUCAUUUUUGUGGCUCUCUCAAUUCUUUUUGGUUAUACCAUUAUAAUCAGGAUGCAGCCAGUGAAAUUGUAGCUGAGUUACAGGGCAUUCCUGAUUUUAUUAUAGGCAACUACAGUGAUGGGAACCUCGUUGCGUCUUUAUUGGCUUACAAGAUGGGUGUCACACAGGUUUGCUAUGACUGGUAUCUUUAAAUAUGAAUUACAGUCCCACGGAUCAUUUACCGAAAGGAGUGUUUACAUUUUUUAAGUUUUGAAAUUUGCAGUGCACUAUUGCCCAUGCCUUGGAGAAAACAAAGUAUCCUGAUUCAGAUAUUUAUUGGAAAAAAUUUGAUGAUAAAUACCACUUCUCAUGUCAAUUCACUGCUGAUGUAUUAGCCAUGAACAAUGCUGAUUUUAUCAUCACAAGUACGUAUCAAGAGAUUGCAGGAACGUAAGUGUUACCCUUUAAUCCACUAACUUAUAAUUGCUUAUGCAAUCAGAUAUGAUGAUUAUGGAUUUAUUAUCCACUUUUUUACAAGAACUCUUUGGGGAUUGGGUUUUUUAGUGUUCAAAUUCUUGCUUUCAAAACUUAAAACGUGAAGGAUCUUGCAGUGCUCCUGUUAACUGUUGUACAAAACUGGCAGAAAAAAAUGGUAGAUUAAGUUUAUUUCAGGAAAGUUUUCAGAGGUGUUGUAUUUUGUAGAUAACAUCCAUGAGAUUGUCCUCAUGUAGAUAUGAAUUUUGUGUUUUACUCUGUUUCUUUGUGCUUGAUGUUCAGCUGGGUCUUCAAUUGUCCAAAUUUAACAUGAUAUUACAUUAGAAUAUAUGCUGUCACUUGAAUUAGUUUAUUUUGGAAAUUACACUUGCUGAAAUUGAUCUUACAACUUUGUCAUUUCGCGUAGAUGUUUAAGUGAUUCUUGUCAAACAAUCGCUUCACUUGUUGUAUGCUUGUUUGUUCAUUCAGGAAGACUACUGUUGGUCAGUAUGAGAGCCACACUGCUUUCACUCUUCCAGGGCUAUAUCGGGUUGUUCAUGGCAUUAAUGUAUUUGAUACAAAGUUCAAUAUCGUCUCGCCUGGGGCCGAUAUGGACAUUUACUUCCCAUACUCUGACAAGCAGAAAAGACUUACAACCCUACAUGGUUCAAUAGAAAAGAUGUUAUAUGAUUCUGAGCAGACUGACGACUGGAUGUGAGUAUAUUCCUGUGUUACUCUUCAAGAACAAUAUUCAAUUAUAUAAUUGGAAAUUUAGAAUAUGAAGAUCAGGCUUAGGCUUGUUUAUGAAAUCUGAUUGUUCAUUUAUAUUGAUGCAGUGGUACACUGACCGAUAAGUCAAAGCCCAUAAUUUUUUCCAUGGCAAGGCUGGACCGGGUCAAGAACAUAUCAGGAUUGGUAGAGUGCUAUGGUAAGAAUGCCAGACUGAGGGAGCUGGUGAACCUUGUCGUGGUGGCUGGUUACAUUGAUGUUAAGAAGUCCAAUGACAGGGAAGAAAUUCUGGAGAUAGAGAAGAUGCAUGAACUUAUGAAGAAAUACAAGUUGGAUGGACAAUUUCGAUGGUUAACAGCCCAAACAAAUCGAGCACGCAAUGGAGAGCUUUAUCGCUACAUAGCAGACACCAAAGGAGCCUUCGUGCAGGUAUAAAGUGCUACUACUGUGGUCUCUCAUCGUGUUAAAGAUUUUCUCAGGAAUCAUAAUUGACUUCCCAACCCUCUCCUCCUUCUGUGUCUAUUGCAGCCUGCUUUUUACGAAGCCUUUGGACUCACUGUUGUGGAGGCCAUGACUUGCGGCCUUCCAACAUUUGCCACUUGCCAUGGUGGUCCGGCAGAGAUUAUUGAGCAUGGUGUAUCAGGAUUCCAUAUGGAUCCGUAUUAUCCUGAUCAGGCUGCUGAAUUUAUGGCAGAUUUCUUUGAAAAAUGUAAGGACGACCCCAGCUACUGGAAAAAAAUAUCUGAUGCUGGGCUUCAACGGAUUUAUGAAAGGUUGGUAUCUCAAUCUGUAUUUGGCACCAUUAGAUUAUGCUUUCUGAGGCUCAUUUAGAUCUUCUGAUACUGUAGAUAUACAUGGAAGAUUUACUCUGAAAGGCUGAUGACAUUGGCUGGGGUAUAUGGUUUUUGGAAGUAUGUUUCCAAACUUGAGAGGCGUGAGACCCGAAGAUAUCUCGAGAUGUUCUACAUUCUCAAGUUCCGUGAUUUGGUGAGUGCUUGACCCUUUUCUAAAUAAUUAUUAAGAUAGCGUAAUUGGCAAUCUAGCUAGUUUUACCCUGACCAUUUCAGAAGAAACAUGGUCUCAUAACUGUGCUCUUGGCUCUUCAAAUGCAAUCUUGGAUAGUUUCUCGGAAUUCAUUUUAAUUCCACAUUAAUGUCUAUUCGUUUCCACAGUUCUAACCAGAUGUUCUGUUGUAAGUUCUGUUAUUUCUGAUUGCUAAAUGUAGAAUUCUGGAAUUGUUAGUUCUAUGUUCUGUCCAAGUGCAACCUCAAACAUUUGGAAUAUCAUGUUCAUGCUCCUUUUAUCUCCAGGUGAAAACUGUACCUUUGUCAAUCGAGGACUGGCAUUAGCUAUUGCUUCCCAAGGAACCGAGACGCCCCCAUGAAUCAGACACAGCACUAUCACACGGUUAUAAUGAUUUUACAUAAAUAAAUUCAUGCGGGUGGCAUGUAGAAAGUUCUGUUGCGUACAAUGAUCUUUGCAGCUAUCUUAUGCUGGUUAAUGUUUCAAGGAAGGCUGUGUAUCCAAGCUGUUGUGAAUAAAUAAAUUGACUCCCCGAGAGUUACACUUUGGCCAGCGCUAGUAGGUAUGCUUUCCAGCACGAACUUCCUCCAAGUAGGCACUGCUAGAUCACCUGGUUCGCUCAAAAAUAAAACGUAAUAAAGAGAGAAUGGCACACGAUGGCUCCUCUACCGCGUGCCACCAAUUGGUCGGUAUAAAGGCCCAAUAUUUGUACUUUUUAUCUGUUGUUACUCGUUAAGUGGACAACGAACAGGAUUGACAUGUUAAUCAAUCUUUGAGCAAGUCAGUUAAUCUCCUUGGAGGGUAUGUGUUCUGUCUUCUCUGAACCAACUGAAAUAUUGAUUUUUCUUUUAUUUUAUUUGCGCUACACAAGCAAGAAGAAAUUCUCUUGUUCCGUAAUUAGUGGUGUCAUAUUUGUUGAUGGAUUCAUGUUUCCAGUAGCUUUCACUUUUGGAUGUAAAGGCAGCCAAGCCUUGUGCAUGCAAAGCCAUUAGGUUCUUCAAGGUCUUGGCCUUUCCUAGUUGUAGGCCUCGAUGAUAAUUCAGCUGGAAUGAGUCUAUGAGAGGGAUCAGGUGAGCAGUUUGCUGUAUGGUUGGUUGUUCUUCCUAUGUAGCAUAUUCUAUGCUUUUGUUGCCAUUAUACAAGAAUCAUUGAGAAUUCACGGUUCAGUGUCUGUUUGUUUGUGUGGCCAUCCUUGCAAGUCUCAAAUAAGUAAAACAUCUAUUAUUUUGAACGUCCUUGGAGAGUGGAAAAAUGGGUUUUGGCUUCUUUAAUUCGGAUAUUUUUUAAAACUAGCAUUGUAUUUUUUAAAAUUUUAGCUAAAAUAUCUUAGAUAAAGAUAUGGUAAAAUAAUAUCGGGCUCAGGUGGUCAACCAAAUCAUUUGGUUGAAUUGAUUUAUUGAUUUAUAUAUCACAAUAAUAAUUGUUAUUUAAAAAAGUCACAAGUUAUUAGAGAGGUUAUUUUUUUUUAAAUUAGUAGUAAUUAAAUCGUUAAUCAAACCAUGAAGUCUUUAGAAUUUCUUGCUUUUCGGAGCUCUGAUUUUGAUAAUUUUAUGAUAUUUUUUAAUGAGUAAAAUUAAUUAUGAAUUUAAAUAAAUAUCCCAGAAGCCGUGAUAAACAACAUCUAUUAAACAUCACAAUUCACAGCCACGACAUCCAAAAUUACGUUAUUUAACUCAAGCUUUUUGUUUAUGUAUGAUUUCAUCUUUUAUUUAGAUUUUACAUGCAUUGUCUGCAACCGAUUUAUCCAUUUAAUUCCCUUCUCCCGCACAGACGGUGAUAUUCUGUCCUGCAUUGUAACCAGAUGAAGCACUGCCCCCAAGGCCAUGGGUCUAUCAUUGCAUAGGAAAAAAAUAGCAUGGGUUCUCCUGAUACCAUCUGACAAGUCUGCAACUCGAACAGAUCUUUUUGACCGCAAGAACCACUACCCCCAAACAGUAUCACGUGUUCCUGCGAAAUUUCUCUCUUUAUCUCCUUUCCUUCCCUCGUUUCCUUUCAACGGUCAAUUACUCGUUAACUCCCUCGACGGAAAAGAUAUUCGUAUGGUACAUUAUCCACUGAUCUGAUACUGUUAAUUUCUUUUGUUUUCAUCCCCUACUUUUUUGCUUGGUAGUUUUGGUUUCAAGGACAAGACAUCCCAUCUCCUAACAUUUUUAAUUCUGUCUAUUAGUGGCCCACCUCUAAUGAAAUUCAGACCGACAUAACAGAUUGACCUGAAAUCUAGUGACUAGACUGGUUUAGAUAAGGUAAAAAAUUAGAUUAAAUAAAAAUUUGGCAAAUCAUGAUAAAAAUUUGUUUUUUUAAUGUAUUUUUUUUAGUUGAAGAUUUUUUUUUAAUUGUUUAUCAACUUUUUUUUUUUUAAUGCACUAAAAUAUUUUAUUUCUUUAAUGUGUUUUGAAAUCUAGUAAUAUAUAUACUUUAUGUUUACAAGAAAAAAAAUAUUUUUUCAAUAUUAAAUAAAAAUUAUUUUUGGUUUAAAUACUUCAACUUCAAAAAAAAAAAAUAAUAUCUUUUCAUAAAAUAAUAUUUUGAAAUAAUCUUUUAAACUUCGUUAGUUAUAUAUAUAGCAUAUAUUUACAUAGAUAUUUCUUAAUUUUUUUAUAUAAAAUAUUAAAAAUUUAAUUUUUUUUAAUUUUUUCAAGUUAAUUCAAAUCAAUUUAUAUAAUCUAAACCCCAACUCCUUUAGCAGCUAGUUUGAUAAUUAUUCCUCACUUUAGUCCCACUUUAGUUUCGCUCAACUCUCGACAAAAAAGUCCAGGAGUGGGAGAUUAUAGAAGCAAAGUUCUUGCAAGUUAAACCCUAGUGGACAUAACACAAGUUCCAAAACGGACUACCAUACUAAAAAACAAGCCCAACAGCUAUCCUAUUAGGGCCAUGUAUGCUUGAUGACCAAUGUGCUUGAAGAUUUGGGGCUCGAGCCUUAGGUCUCUUGACCCCUUUAACCACGUUGACAUCCAGAUAAGUAUUUUAGGACACAUAAAAACAAAGCCACUAAAAAACGAGAGACACAGACACCUAAAUCUAAAUCUAACAAAUUGGAGAUGCUGCUAGGACUUCGAGCUGGCCGGAAGAGUGCGCGAGAUAAGCCAAUGCUCCUACCAGGGGUGCGUUAAUGUAAGUAGCUGGUUCAGAUUGCUCAUAGUCUGAUCUUUCAUCUGGGAACCUGUCAUGUUCGUCUGGCCCUCCAACUAUCGCACCCACAAGAACGUUGGGGUUUGGGGAUUGAGAAUUCAUCACACUAAAGCCUGAGGUGCAUUGGAUCUUUCCUGGGUGUGUAGCGAUUGACGGUAGAGAUGAGCCCCUGUGGUGAAUCCUUUGUGGAUACCUUGGACCAUACCCCACCAUGUAGGACAUUUUCAAUGGGUUGUCUCCAAGUAGAUAGUCCACCUGAUGACAAAAUUUGUUGAGUUACAAAAAAUCCCAUAUAGCAGAAUAAAUAAGUGCCUUAAUAUAAGAGAUCAAUAUGGCCUCGAGGAUGCUUUUAUGGUGCCUGUGACCCAUUUGAUGUACCUGUUUCUUGGCAAUGGUUCGUAGCCUCUUUGGAGUGACAACGGUUCCACCACAGUUUACAACCGUGCGAGCAGAGGUCAAGUACUUGGCAUAGGUUAAGAGCAAGAAUGAAGUUGAGGUGACGUAUUGCAUGUUGCUAUCACUCAUUUUGAACAGCAGCCCGCCUGGUGAUCAAGAAAAAAAAGUAAUACUAGCGGUUUAGGAAGAAGGCGGCACCACAUUUGGGGAAUUGGAAAUCAGAGACAGCACUGUGGGGACCUGACCUGGUGUAUAUUGGGCUGAAGAGAAAGGGGCCCCUGGUAUGAGAGAACAGAUGAAAUUAUCUGCAUGUCCUUUGUAGUCAUGGAGGGAUUGCAGUUUUUGAACAAGAAAUGCCUGAGACUCAAGGACAAUAUUAAUGAUUUCAAUUGAUAAAUCACCAUAAAGAUUUGACAAACAAAUUAAGAACUACAAGUGAGAAUGGGAACCUUGGAAAGAAGAAUCCUUGCACCAACAUGCUUGUUAUCCCAACCAAAGGUAUUGUCAAACUGUGCAGCUCCAAGAUUCUGUCCGUUAACUUGAAUGUAAUUGAGAUAAGUUGGAUUCUUGGUCGCCUUAUGCAGCCAAGCAGCACCCCACAGCAGCUCAUCCUGCCAUUUUUUAGACACCCAGGAGGAGAUUAAGUAUUAAGAACAGCUCUUUAAAAAAAUCAAAACUUGUAAUGCAGGACUCAAAGGCACAAGCUUCACCUCAUAUCCAGAAUAGGAGCAAUAGAAAGGGCAAACAAAUCUCUUCAGUCCAUUGCUGUAGGCUCCUCUGUACUUAUCAGCAAAUUGGAACACCUAGACAAGGAACAAAUUGUACUCGCAUUUUGUGAACAUCAAAUUUUUUGACUGAAAUUUUUACUGAUGAGCACUAAGUAGACAUAUUUACCCUGAUAGCUCUCCUGACCAAAAGCUUGGCAUAAGUGGGGUCACAUCUUCUAAACACCAAAGACGCAGCUGCAAGAGCAGCAGCAGUUUCAGCAGCAACAUCAGAACCAGGGGAAUGCUUGUCAACCUUGAAAACACUCCUUGGAGUAUCCAUAUCUUCUGGUCUCUCCCAACAAGCAUGGUCCUUAUUAGCGUUACCUACCUGAAAAUAAAACCCCAAACGUCAUCAUUUUGAUUCCUUCAGCCAUAUUUCCCAAAUCAAGUGCGCACAUGCCUAUUUAUGGUGUCUCCAAACAAUGUGUAUAAAACUGAAGAAUGCAGAGAGAUUCAAGACUGCAAACCUGAACAUAGAUGGUGUCUGUAUGGGCUGUAGCUUUGAGGAGGUAAUCAGUUGCCCAACGAAUGGCUUCUCUAGCGUUCUGCAGCUCACCUUUCAUCAACCCCCCGAACUCUAAAACACUCCAUGAAAGCAUGGUUGUAGUGAAAGCCAUAGGGAAUCCAAACUUCACAUUGUCUCCUGCAUCAUAAUAACCUCCCACCAAAUCCACCUGCAUUGUCAUUUCAACACCAAAGAUGAGUGAGCCUCAAAGAAAUGUGAACAAGAAAAAAGAAAGCUGAAGAGAAAAGGAGUCAUCUGUGUACACAUACAUGCAUGGUUGAGCCAUCUGUUAGACCCGAGUCUCUCCUCCAUGUCAUCCUCUGGCUAGAAGGGAGCUUACCAGACCUUUGGCCUUCGAAAAAGAGGAUUGAUUUGGUCAGGGCAUCUCUGUAGUUAUGACUGGCAAAGCGAGGGUGGCGGCGGUGGUGGAAUGGGUUGUUGUGAUGGACGGGAAAGCCAUGGCAUGCAAUAAAAGAAGUAGCAAAACAAGAGCAGAGGACUAGAAAUGUGAAAGAGAAAUUAGCGCAAGCCAUUUUGGUCUGCCCAAAAUAAAACCACCCAGAUCAGCCAACUAACCAACCUACGAGCCGCAGUGAAGAACAGAGGCCUCCCUUGCUCUGUAUUUAUAAAGAAAAAGCUGCCACAUACUAUUACCCUCCUGCUUGGUUACCACAAUAGUUAAGCAACUUCUAGGCCUUUAAUCCUUUAAUCAACUUCUAUGUUAGCGCUUACUGUAUUUUAGUUAGGUAAACCUUUAAUUGAUUUUUUUUCGAACCACAAAAUAAUAUUCCUUAGAAAGAGAGGAAAUUGACUUUUUUAUAAUUCAUACAUACCAGAAAAUUGCCACGUAUACAGCAAACAUGACAAUUCUCAUAUUUUUUAGAAUUUGAGAUUUGAGAAGUAGUGAAGACUUUAGACUGGAUAUGACUUUUCAUGGUUGUGUACACACCCUCUAAUAUUUUUUUUAUUAACGUGGGUGUUCGGGUUAUCUUGUGUAUAUUUCGACUAAUCUCACGGAUCCUGAAAUUAACGAUUAUAUAAACCUUUAGUGACCAUCAUAUUAACAAUCAUAGGGUUAGAACCCAUUCCCUCCAAUACGUAAAUCAUGGAGAAAUAGUAUAUUAAAAGUGAGGGGGAGUGAAGAAUGCAUGGGAAUAGUGUCCGGAGAAAAAGAAAAUUAUGUUAAGAGGGGAGCAGGGGCAAGGGAAAUGUAACGUGGCUUUGUGACCUUGUGUGAUUUACUUUAUUGUUUUUAAUAGAGCUUUAUAAUGUUGAAAUGAAUUUGGUUGAAAUUCUUGAAUGCUUUCAUCUAUUUUUAUUUUGGUCUCAAAAUACUUAUAGACUUUUUAUCAUGUUAGUUUACCUCGUGGAGAGUAAAAUAAUAAUAAAAAAUAAUUGUUUUCUCCGGUAAGUAUCCUGAAAAGUUGAGUUAUUGGUUGUUAUGUCUUGUUUUGUAAUUAGUGAAAAUGUUGAUGCUUGCUAUUGGUUGUGGUGCCUUGUUGUGCUAUUGCUAGAGAGGUUGAUGCUUGGUAGGUACCAUUUGAGAAGACAUGUAGGAGGAAAUUUUCAUUGGCUAGAAAAUAUGGUGUCGUACUAAUAACUCAUGUUUAAGCGUCAGUCAGUAUGACACCAUACCAAAUUUAUUAGAGGUCACAAUUUUGCCUUGAGGUGCAUGCCUUGCUGGGCUUCCCUUGGGUUGAGUGGGUUUCGCCUAAAAAAUGGUUUUUGGAAGGCUUAUGGUGUUGUGGACAAGGUCUCUUUUCCCAUGGCAAGCCCAUUUAGGAGACUAGAGACCAAUCCAAUUGGGAUGCCCUCGCAGACUAUAGGUGACCAACUCGGUAAGAUUGACCCAAUCAAGCUGGUAGUGACUAGCUUGUUUGGUUAGCCCAAAUAAUGGUUUUUAGUUUUUUUUUUAAUUUUAUAUUAUUAUUCACUCCUUUUAUAUUUUAAACAUUCAUGUUUGAAAAAAUUUACUCAUAAAAGUUUGAUGGAAAGAAAAGUUUAUGCAUGUCAUGUUACCUUAUUGUGGAUUUUGUUAACAUGCCAUAAUGAAUAUGCAAAUUUUAUUGGAGACAUGGAGAUUUUGUUUGGAUACAUGGAGAUUCUCAUGCAGACACGGAAAAUUUUAUUAGAGACAUACAAACUUUAGUUCAAGAUAUGGAGAUUAUCAUGGAGAUUUUUGUUGGAGACAUGAGAAAAAACAUAUGGAGACUACUUGGAGAGAUAAUAUUGUUUUAUUUAAAUUUCAAAAUAUUUUCUCAUGCAAAUGGAGAUAAAAUCAUUGGAAUCUAUUUAAUAUUAGGCAAUACAUCGAGGGAUGUAUCAACCUCCUUUUGUUUUGGUUGCAUUUCUUUCCUUAUAAAUUGUUAGAGGUGACCCUUGACGAUUAGUCUUUCUAUCUCUAUUUUAAAGCAUGAGAUUUCUUAGUAUCAUGACCAUUAUUAUGGUGAAAGAAAUAAAAUUUAUUGGGUUCCUUGUGUUCACGCAAUCCACUCUUCAUAAAAGGUGGAUAUCAUUAGAACUUUUUUUUUCUUAAUGGCAAGCAAUACCUAAGGAUGUGUGGUUGUCAGAGGUGUGGUCAAGAGCUUAUAAAAAGUUAGAUGAUUACAAAUGGAUCCUUUGGUGUUCCUAUUGAAUGCCCUAAAGCUACUAGGAGAUCAAUGACGUUUAAAUAUGGUUUUUCAUUUCAUGUUUCACUUUGAGGAGAGUUCAAUCAAGGAAAUUAUAGAGUCAUUCCUAUAAAGAAUAGUUGUAGACCCCAUUGAUUAGGUCUUUAAUGGUAAUGAGUUCUAGUAGAGUCUUGACAUUAAUCAUUUCCUCAUUAAAUCUUUAGAUAUAUGCUCUUUUACUCUUAUUUUCUUGUUAUGUGUUGGUGAAAAGCUUAAUGAUGCUCUUUUUAUCUAGUAUACUUAUGCUGAAGCAGGAGAUGCUUUUGGUGAAGAGAUCAUGAAAGUUAAGGAUAGAGUCAAGCUCCAAGUCAUUGUACCACACUCAAGUAAAUCCGUUAAAAAUGCUUUUAUGAGAAAUUUACACAUAACAUCAUUAUCUUAUGUCACAAGAUCUAGGAUACUUUGCAUGUUUUGUAUAUUUUUCCUAAGGUCUGUAAGUCCAUUAUAAUGUUUAGGUUGGUUUUAAUGGACGCACAAUCUUUGAAGAGAAGAGUGUAUCAAUUAUUGGUAAAGUGAAAAAUCUCUCACCUAGUAAGGGCAAUGUUCAUUCUUAGAAGCUUGUAUAGUUAUUAAUCUCGUCUCGCAUCAGAGCUUUUUUUAUAGUGCAUGAGUGAGAUUCGAAAAAAAUCGAUAACGAUAACCACUUAUGUGGCUAUGACUCGCUAAUGAGUGUUUUUCUUAAUGAGAGAGACUCAUUCAAAAAGUUAGAGUACGAGUAUUCUCACAACUAUUAGCUUGCACAUCAUUCUACCCUAUUCAUUUAGGGAACUAGAGUUGCCUUUGUGCAUUCAGUGGUGCAUGCAAUAAAGCUAAGUGUCGUAUUUCUUAUUAAAAAAUGGAAAAGUGUGAAGCUAUUGUUGUUUAGCUAAAACAACAUCAUUCACACCUUCAUUUUAUGGGAGAGUUUAUGGAGAUCUAGAAGAGCUAAAGUAUAUAUGGUUGGGAGGUCAGUUACUCUCCCAUAUCCUGAAAUUUCUAAGUUGUCAGCCUUGGAAAGAAACUAUUGGGUGAUGAAAUGUGAAACAAGAAUGAACUAGCCUUUAUUUAGUUUUUCAUAGAUAACGCUAUUAAUAAAAUUGUGAAACCAUUAAUUGAAUUAGGAUUUUUACAGCUAUUUCUUAGGUCGAUGGUGUGACUUAGCUUGAUAAUUGUUUGGUAGAUUGACAAGAUGACUUCUACACUCACCUGCAAAAACAAGUUUCUUAUUAAAAUCAUUGACCCUCUGAUGUUUAAGUCAACAAAUAUGGGAGGGGAAAUAAUUUAUAGAAAGUGGGGGGCAGGGGGGCGUGAAGAACGUAGGAGAAUGGUGUGUAGAGCAAUAAAGAAACAAAAUAAGUUGAGAGGGGAGUAGGAGUAAAACAAAUAUAACAUGGCUUUGUGGCCUUGUGUGGUUUGCCUUUUUCUAUUCUUAAUGGAGUUUUGUAUUGAUAAAAUGAACUUAUGUGAGGUUUUUAAUUGCUUUAGUCUGUUUUAACCUAGUGACCUGAGGUAUUUAUAGACCUAGGGUCAUGUUAUUAGCUUACCUUAUAAAGAGUGAAAAAUGAUGAAGAAUAAUUGCUUUCUCUUAUAGAUAACCUGAAAAGUUGAGUAAUUAGUUAUUAUGCCUUAUUUUUUCAGUGGUGAAAAGGAUGGUGCUCACCAUUAGUUGUUGUGGCUUGUUGAGCUAUUGGUGAAGAGAUUGGUGCUUGGUAUAUGUCAUUUGAGCUGACAUGUUGGUAGGAAAUAUCCAUUAGCUAGAAAAAGUGGCAUCGUACUAACAAUUUAUGUGUAAAUGUUAAUGAGUACGAUGUGCAUCAAAUUUAUUAAAGGUCACAAUUUAGUCUUGAGGUACGUGUCUCACUAGGCUUUCUUUUAGGUCAAGUGGGUUAAGCUUAAAAAUGUGGUUGUUAUAAGGCUCAUGGUGUUAUGGAUGGAGUCCCUAACCCGUGACAAGUCUGUUUAGAGGACUAGAGAUUAGUCUGGUUGGGAUGCCUAACCAAAACGGUCUGUCAUUUUUUUUUGAAAAAAAAUUGUAUUAUCAAGAUUCUAUAACAAAUAAAAGAUAAUAUUUCUUAAAAUCUUAAAUUCCAUGGCAGUGGGAAUCAUACAAUCUCAAUAUCAAAUUGCUUUUAGGGAGCUACUAGAUCAUUAUCAUUUUUUUAUGCGUGCUAUAGAUAAAAUCAUUUUUUUUAACGUAAAAAAAAUAUGUCUAAGCAUUGUUAACAUUUUUUUAUAGCAAAAAAUAAAAAUAAAACAAAACCAUGUAGGGGUUGAUCCUUAAUGACUUGGUCAAUUUGGUAGGUACAAAGAUAACCACUAAAAAUAUAGUUUGACAAAAAUAAAUUUAAGAUGACAUAUUUGUUUUAUAAAUAUUAAUAUGAAAACAUAUUGGAUCAACUCAGGUUAAUCUGUCAAAUUUACAAUCAUGGUCAUAAGACCAUUAUAAUCCCGUAGAAAAUAAAUUAAAACAAAUUAUGAAGCUUGAUUCUUAAUUAAUCAAAUGUUGAAGGAUAAAAUUGAAAAAAAAUCAAUUAAAAAAAGAACUAAAAAACAACUCGAGUCAACCAAGAUUAUUUGCAAAACUGCGACUCCAGUCAUGAGACCGAUAUAACCCUAUAAAAAGUAAAUCAAAACAAAUUAUGAUAUUCAAUUUUCAAUAAUCCCAAUAUUGAAGAAUAAAAUUAAAAAAAAGACACAAAAAAACCCGAUUCAACCUGGGUUAACAUGCAUGCUAAACACAUGAUUUGUGUCAUGAGAACAUGAUAACUUCAUAGAAAGAAAAUAAAAAAUCAAUCUCGAAUCAACCUAGGUUAAUCUACCAAACCCACGACUCGGGUCAUGAGGUUAAGAUAAUCACAUAAAAAGCAAAUCAAAACAAAUUAUUAAGCACAAUUCUCAAUCAAUCCAAUGUCAAAUGAUAAAAUUAAAAAAAUUUAAAAAAAGACUAAAAAUAAUUACCUGAGUCAACUUGGAUUAACCCGUCAAAUCCAUGACUCAUGUCAUGAGAUAGAGAUAACCUCAUAAAAAGCAAACGAAAACAAAUCAUGAAGUAUAAUUUCUAAUUAAUAAAAUAUUGAAGUAUAAAAUUUGAAAAAGAAGUCAAUCAAAAAAGGAAAAAAAAAGGUUAACUAGGUUAACCCGAGACUCGGAUCAUGAGGUUAAGAUAACCCCAUAGAAAAGAAAUCUAAACAAAUCAUGAAAACCCAAUCCAAAAAAAUUAAAUAUUGAAUGAUAAAAUUGAAAUUGAAAAAUAAAACAUAGGUUUUUUUUUUAAAAAAACACCAUUGAAAUAAAUAAUGCUUUGUGAGGUGAUGCAUAAUAAAAACACCACCACUUUUAGUGUUUUGUUAAUAAAAUAUUAAUUAAAGGCUCCCUUUAUUCUAAAGGUAUGCACAACGAGGGGCAUUAAUGCCAAAUCAAUGGCUGUCACAUGAAAAUAUUAAUUACAUCAUGACUUAAAAAUAUUUGAUAUCGUGAUAGCUUUUAUUUUUUGCUCAACUAUAAAAAAAAACUUUUUGAUUAACCAAAUAACUUUUGUAUUUUGCAUUGGGUAUCAUGCAUAAUUGCGUUUAAAACCUUAAUUUUAUAGAAAUUAAAAUAUUUAACUUUUCAUUCAUGAAAACUUAUUUUUCAUUUAUAUUACAUAAAAAAAUAUAUUUGAUAAUAGUUUUAGUCAGAUGUAUAUUUUUUAAACCGUGACUAAAAAUGCACACUUAGUUUGCGAUUUUCGGAGGAUGUGUCCAUGGCUAUUUGACUGGGAAAUAGUUCAAGUUACUCCUUCAGCUCGGAUGAAAGCGAUGGGACAGGGCAGGGUCACGCAGGAUAUGCCUUCAGCACAAUGCUAUGAGUUUAAUUCGUGAAAUGGACUAACCAAGCAGUCUUACUGUCAACUCGUACUUGGAAAUUUAUUCGAAGUUAGAGGUGAAAAAUAAUUAGUACUCGGUUUCAAUAAUCAGCCAGCAUUGAUUGACAUUAAGAAGAAAAUUGAGAGGCUACAAGCGUUUGUUAAGACGUCGAACUAGUAGAGGCUCGAAUAAUCGGGAAACGGUUUCUUUUAUUGCAGUGGCAGAGAUUCCUCGUGAUGUAUAUGCGUGUUAUAUAUAAAUAUGAGUUAUGAGUAACUUACAAAUUAUAAUACAUAAACUAAUUUUCAAACAAUUAAGUAUUCUAUAUUUACAAAUACACAUACUCGUAGGUGAUGUGAU